GCGGUGACGAAAUCAGAGCUGAUUUUGAAGCCUCUGAUGCCCCUGUUGUUGCAAGUUGCACCUGAGAACAUGUUUUUUUUUUCUUUGGGGUAAAAAAACUGGCAACAUGUUCGGAGCUGACAAUUCAAUCCCUGAUGAACUAGAGAAGCGAAGCUCCGGUAAGGAAUUGGUCAAGGUUGUGACAGGGAUGAUUGAUGGUGAAAUGGAUGCUAUUUCUUAUUGCAGCCUGUUCUCAAAGUUCUUGUUGGCAAAUGCAAGAGAUGGAGUAUUUUGAUUGGGAGGAGAUAUAAUGACAUGGCUUGACAAUUCUAGAACAGCCCAUCAUUAAUCCCAGAAAAAAUCCAGUUUCUGCUAAACAAUCACUUAUGGCAAGGCCAACUCUGUAAAUGGAAUUUGUGAUCCCUUGAAAUUGUACACAUUUUUUCUUUUUGAGGAAUUUAAUCAAACAGUAUUCUAAUGUAUUAUGAUAGCACUACACGCUUUUGUUGUAACAAAUUACAAGGAGGAAUUUGGAUUGAGUUUCUUGUAUAAGCACACCUUACACAAAUUUGGUAUAUUUUCUUCCAGCAAGUCUGUUUAUUAACCCCCUUAUCUGAAAUUAAUUGUUAAAAGUUUUGAUUCAUCUUUAAUCAGUGUCUAACCCUUGUUGAAUAACACUCCUCUUUCUAAUUUAUAUUUGAAGUUUGAGGUUUCAAUUUCAAUUGUGGGCUUUGAUUUUACAGAUUUUGUUUGUCAAUUUCAGUUUGGACAAAGCAUAUGCAAACAAAAUAAGCAUUUUAUGUUAUACUUUUGAAAUAGGUGUUGAUUUGAUUUAAUCAUAAGUUUUGCUGGUGCAUUUACUAGGCUAUCAUUCAAUACUUUUGAUCAUAGAACUUCUUUGGUCGAUAUUAUCUUUGUUAAGUUUAACCAUAAAUUUAGAGAGGGGACUUCAACAGAUUUAUAAUCUCAUCAUUAUAGUAUUAAAAAUUAGAGAUUAAGGCAUUGUCUAUUAUCUGAAUUCUGCUUACUUUUAGUUCAUAUGUUUACAUCUUAGCAUAUUCAUGCGAUUAGUGCGGCUCAUACCACAAAGGCAACUUUAGGCUCAUCAAGUGCUAAGCAAUGUCAAGCUUCCAAGUGACAAGUUCUCUACAUAGUUUGAGACCUACACUUACUAGAUAUUAGAUCAUUUCGAUCAUUUCCAUAUGUUUAUAUGUAAUUGACAUGUUAUAACAAUUUUUGUAGCGUUAUAUAAUUAUUUAGCAAUUUAAUUAUUUCUUUGCAUCAAGAAAUAGUUCUUAAGUUAUUAAAAAAAAAAAAAAAGAUUUAAAAAAAAAGAUUUGUUGAUGCUUAAAAAGCAUCAAGAACAGGUAGUUUCUUGACGGUUUAGUGACGUUUCAUAACUGUAGGAGGCUUUUUCUUCCGACAGCUGUAAAUGGGCUGGGUUGCCGUAAAGGGCAGACUGAUGAAAUUGUCCCCUUUUGUCUGAGCUAGAAAAUUAAGCCCCAAAAUACUUCGAAAGGGCAGCAGAGCCUUAGGAAGUAUUUUGGUUACCCUCACCAACUAAAACAACAACAACUUACAGGUAAUUUCUUAAUGCUUACAGAUGAACUCUUGAGCUUGGCAUGAGAGACAUGUGGCAUGGAAGCAAAAUCAACAUGAGUUUAGCACUGAGGGGAAAUUUAGGCUCUCUUGGGGGAAAAAGGGAAGUGUUAAGGUGAGAGAGGAGAAGUUUGUAGGAGAUUUAGCUAAGAAAGGAGAAAUAUAGAACAAUGCUCUUCUGGCAGCUUGACAGAUGCUCUGUCUGCCAGAAAAGGAAGAUGGAGAAGAAAUGUGAAUAGUGCACGAGUUUGCUAGAUUUUUGCAGGUAAGAGAGGAAGCUUGCUCUCUGGGUCUGAGUUGAGUUUUGUUAGGUGGAAGAGACCUCAUUUUAUAGCUCCUGGAAACCAUCACUUCCCAAGAAACCCUAAUGGCUUCUACCCAUUUUGGCCAAGCUUUUCCAUUCCUUUCUCAUUUCCUUCCUUGACUUUACCCCUCUUGAUGAAAUCCUCUCUACCUAUUUGCACCAGAUCAGAGUUUUUUGAAGCUUAAGGCCCCCUUUUCCCGCAGUUGUCUCAAUGGGAGACUUUCAUUCCUAGUCAUUUCCUUUAUUGCUUUCCUUUCUUUUUUUCAUGGCCAAGUCUGGUGGGGAAAGGAGUUGGGAUAAAUAUGCUAGUUUGAAGGGUGCUUCUCUUCUUGGCAUCUUACACACUAAUACCCCUUGGUUCCUUGAAUGUUUUGGCUUUGAAACUUGCUCCCCUCCAUGUAUUGGAACCUCCCAGCAGCCCUGGUCAAUGAAUCUUCAGACCUUCUCUUCGUGGCUUUUAUUUUUUUAUCAACUGGCUAGGGCUUUUGUGGCUCAUUGGGGCAAUUGUAUGGGCUAAGGUGGUUCAUUAAGUAAGUGGGCUAUUUUUAUUAAACAUUGAGCUUUUUGGUUGAGUCACUAGGCUAUUUUGAUUGGGCUAUUGGGCUAUUGUUUCCUCUCUUGUGCUCACCCACAUGUUUGGACCAAAGAAAUGAGCUUGAGUCCUGAGGCUCCCAAGCGACCCGAGACUUUCCAUUUAUCGGUCCAUCAAUGGGCCUCAUGUUGAUUUAUUACCAUCCAUACCACACCCCACUCAAGCAAGCCCCGGGCAUUUGAGUGGCUUGGGCCCACUUAGGCUUGUAGUGUGGUUGGGUGCAAAAUAACGAUUUCGUGCUUGGCAUGUUUUAAUUUUAUCAUCCAUGGGAAAGGCUGCGAUGUUUGAUUUCGGCAUGGGCUUGUAGAGCUGGUAUGCUUUAUUUCAACUCCUAGCAUGACGAAUUAUUUAUUUAGCAUGGCACGUGAAUUACAACUCGCAUGUGGUGGGUUUUUGUGUACUACACCUUACGCCUCUUCUUAAUAGAACAUCGUUUCUGAUAAUUUAUUUGGGCCCAACCGUGAAUUUUUUGGAUCUCAAUAAUAACCAUCAUGAAACAUUACAUUUUGACUGACAUCAAGAAAUGGGGUAUCCCUUUCUUGAUAGUGGCAUCCAUGAUGCCUUCCAAGCCGUCAAUUAAGGGCUAUCGCGAUGCAUUUUAGUUGUCAGCAAAAGGUGUUUUUCUUGUACUAUAUUCACUCAAAAUCGUGUUUCAUUUAAGAUUAGUAGUAUGGUUGAAUACCAUUUGUUUUGUUAAAGAAUAUUAUACAUUAGGGAUUUUUGUAGAAAUGUCAUUUGAACUUAUACCUUAGUUUCAAUUUGUCACCUUGAAGAAAAAUUUAAGAGAAAUAUCACCUUAAUUUUUUAAAAUCCAUGAUUUGUCAUAUGACUUUAAGAUCAUCCAAUUUUCCAUCCAUUUUAAGGGUAUUUUAGACUUUUCAUUUUCAAGGAAAAAAAAGAGAUGAAAAAAGAGACCUCUCUCUUACUUUGUCCCCCAACCCAACCCCACCCGCCCCCAAAAACACAUCACAUAGGAUUGCCUCCCCCUUCCCCACUUUUCUUUUUUCUUUUUGUCAUACUUUUCCACUGUGUUUAUGUUGAAGGAUCUAAAGUUUGCUUGGUCACCAUCUUUUACGUAGGCUUCCUAAUUGUUGGUUUGGGUGGGUUGUGGGAAUUUGUGUGUGGAGGGCAAGGCUCUAUCUGACAGGACCCACCUCGAAUUCCUCGAAACCCGAGACGAAUCUUGUAGAAUUUCCGACAUCACACCGAUGCCGGGUCCACUUCUGAACUAAAUCCUCUUUUCCAAAAUUAAGGAAAAAUAGUACGAGGCUUUCUGCCAAAAUUUCGGCAGUCUUCCCUAUAAAUUUAACGUUUCAGCUUUGGAGGCCGUUCUUUCAUUUCUGCUUUGGUGGCCGGAUGAGAGAACGGCCGGCUAAAACGUGGCCAGCUGGCACUGCCGUCACGAGAGAGAGAGAGAGAGAGAGAGAGAGAGAGAGAGAGAGAGAGAGAGAGAGAGAGAGAGAGAGAGAGAGAGAGAUGUUUAUCAAACCAUUUUUGCCAAAAUUACGAUUAUGCAACUGAGGGUAUUUUGAUCGUAUCUUUUUCGUUAUAACUCCGAUUCAAGCCCACUACAUAUCUACGGACUCAUCUCGCCGUGCUCUAUGCAAUUGUAUAGUUGAAAUUCCCAAAUUCCAUCCCAGUCAAAAAGUCAACUUUAAACCUUAUAAAAUAUUCUAAGGGCAAAAUGGUCUUUUAUCUAAUUAAAUUAAUAAUUGAAAAUUUAUUUAGGACCGGGUCGUUACACUGUCGUUGAUGGACUGUGCGAUGGCACUCACACAAAGUCCUUAAGAAUAAAACACACACACACCAUGAAGAGAGUAAAACAAAUGCACAAAGAUUUAUAAAGGUUUGGCCUCCUGCCUACAUCCUCUUGGUGAUCCACCCGAGAAAUUCACUUGUACGUAAGAACAACUUUGGUUACAACUAAACCCCCUUAGCUUUCAUAAGAACCCUAGAUCUCUUUUCUCCCACCCUUGCUCCAACCCUUUGAUGCCCUUGUAAACACUCAAGAAUUCAUCCUUGAAUUCUAUCAUGUGUUACAUCUUCUCUUCUCCCCUUUGCCAACCUAACCCUACAAGUUAUAUUUAAAAUUCAUUGGACUUUAAGUACAAGUUAACUAGGAAUAGGAAACAUAAAAGACCCCAAAAAUUGGAGAAAAUAUGUCUAGAUCUCAUUAGGAAAUUGCACAACACGUGCGAUCCUCUCGAGCGCCUGCAAAAUCAUCCCUUUGCCGCUCGAGCUGCCGAUAGCUCAUGGGAUGGGGGAAUUAGAAAUUUUUUUUUUUCAAUUUUAAUUGUUUAAAAGAUAUACAAUUUAUUAAUAAUAAUUUUUCCAUUUUUAAAAUACCCUUGAAAAUAGAAAGAUUAAAAUGCCCUUAAAAAUGGAUGGAAAAUUGGAUGGUGUUAAGGUCAGAUGACAAAUCAUGGAUUUUGAAAAAUUAAGGUAACGUUUCUCUUAAAUUUUUCUUUACAGUGACAAAUUGAAAUUGAGGUAUAAGUUCAAGUUACAUUUCUGCAAAAAUUCUUAUACAUUAUGAUAUUCUAACAAUAAUUGGCUAAAAUUGAUAUGUUCCCUCUUUUAUUUUCUUUUUCUCUUUUCCUUUUCAUUUUAUGAUCCAAUCCUUUUCAUAUAUUUUUGUUCAAGACUUUGUUUUAUAAUGCUCUAUUACUAAUUUGGUACAGGUCCCUAAAAUCUCGGAGCCGCCUUAGUACAUUCAUAACGUACAUGUUCAGAGUUCAAGAAUAAUGUAUAGAAUGUGAAAUUGACGAUGCCGGCCUUUAUGAGGCAACAUCUUUAUUUCUUUGGUUAUUCCAGUUUAGAAUAUUUGCACAAAUGAGAUGACUCCAAGCAUAAAGUCACAUUCGACCAAAAAGCAUAAAGUCACACACAAAAAGAACACGGACAAUUGCUAAGUUUAUCCUUGUACCCUUAUUUUAUUGAUCCGACCCAAUUGAAAAAUAAAAAAAGAUGAUAAAAAAUAUUGUUCACUGCUUUAAAAUCUAUGAGUAGAGUCCUCCAUUUGAAAUUUGGUCAUUAUACAAAAUUGGAAUGAAAAAAGAAAAUCCUAAAGCUAUAUUUGAUAUAUUUCAUUUUCAUUUUUUGCUGGGUGUUAGGGCUCGUCAAUGGGCCGGGCCUGGCUAGCCCGGCCCGAAUUUAAUGGGCUUGGGCCAGGCCGGCCCAGGCUUUAAAGAGGAGAGAGAAAAUAUCAGGUCGAGUUUUUUAAGAAAAUUCAAAGCCCAAGCCUGACCCAUGAGCCGGGCUUGAGAAAGCCCAUCGGGCCGGGCCGGGCCUAAACGGGCCCUACUUCAUUCAAAAAAAAUCAUUAACUUAAUCAUAAGGUCAUUUUAGUCCAAAUUUGAGAUUAAACUCACUUAAUUCUAAUAUUUUUACUUCAAACCAAAUUCAUAAAACACCCAAUAAAGUCACACAACUUGUAAGAUUUUCCACAAAAAUAAUAAAACCAAGUAUUAUUUUUGAGGUUAUUACAUAAUUAGAUCGUAAUACGUUUUAAAAAAUAAUUUUUAAAAAUAAUAUUAAUAAGUAUCAAAAAAAUAUUUUUUUAAAGGAUGGUAUGAAUAAAUAUGCAAAUAUUUGGUGAUGUGUUCAAGAAAAGGAUGAUUAUAUUUGGUGGUACGAUUAUGUUUCGUGAUACGAUUAUAUUUAGUGAUGUGAUAUGUUGUUCAUCUUAUAUAUAUAUAUAUAUAUAAUUGUUGAACUAAUAAUUGACACAAAUUAAUGUGUUAAUCAUCCAAUUAUAAACUAGGAGUGAAUAAAGAAAAGUAAAUGAAAUGAAACAAAUUAUAUGUGUGAUUUAAGUGAUAUAAUCCUAAACCUAAACUCUUAUUUAUACAUAAUUAUAUAUGUAUGCGGGCCUAACGGGCCGGACUUUUGUGGGCGUGUCGGGCCGGGCUUUCUUGGGCUUAAUCAGGCUGGACCUAUGGGUCAGGCCGGGCUUCAAACACCCCAACACGAGCCUAGCCUAGCCCGCCUUGGGCCGGGCCAUCUCAAAGCCCAUAACGAGCCGGAUCGGGCUUUUUUCGAUUGGCCGGGCGGGCCCCCUCGACCCAUGAGCCCGCGGGCCAAAUGAUGAGGCCUACUGGGUGUUCAAUUUUUCUUGUUUCUUGUUGAAAAGAAAAAUGAUAAUUAAUAAAAUCUGAUUUGGUGGUUGUGCUCGUCACAAAUCAAUGAAAUGACAGCAGUGAUUUUGCAAGACAGCAUACCUUCUCUUGGGGUGCUUUUCAUUUUGCAACAUUUCUUUACGUGUAAUUUCCAGAGGAGGGUUUAUCAUUGUAUAUAGCUCUUCGGGUGGUUUUUUCUGCAAAACAAAUGUCACAAGGAAGGAGGAGAAACGGAAAAGAUUUACUUGGAAUGUCUCAAGUCUCCUUUGAGAUAAAGGCAUCGAAUGCACAACAUUGUUUUUGUGCUAUUUCAUAAUUAAAGUGUGCUUCCCAAGUCUCCUUUGCGUUUUGUAACUUGUAAUGUUUGUUUUUUUGUUUCCCCUGUUUUGUCUUUUAUAAAAGAAAGAGGAAUGCUAGCAACCUUCUCUCUAAUCUUCUCUUUUGGACCUUCUCCCUUUUCUUUUUGACAAGUGUCAUUUUCCAUACACUUAAAACAAUGACAUUAAUGCAUCACACAAUUUAGUUUUUGUUUUCCAAGUUUACCAUUUUAAAAUGUAUUGGCUUUUAUAUUUCCUUCAAUUAUUCACAUUUUGUUAUAACUUGUUUAGCACAUUAUUUUUUUUAAUUUAAAAAAAGUCAUAUUUUUUAAAAAUAAAAAUAAAGUUUGUUUCAUGACAUUGUUAUCAUUUUUAUUUUGUUUUUAACAAAACACGCAUUCUCUUUGGAAAAAUUAAAAAUUAAAAAACAAUUCAGUUUUUAUUUUCUUAUUUAAUUUUUAACAAGCUAGUAAGAAAGUUAUAAAAAAAAAUUAGCUUGUUAUUAAAAAAAAAUUAAUACAUUUAAUAAGGGUAAAUUUGGAAAACAAAAACUAGUUUGUGUGAUGCAUUAAUGACAUUGUUUUUAGUUUAAGGAAAGUGACACUUGUCAUGAGAAGAAGGGAGAAGGUCCAAAAGAGAAGGUUAGAGAGAAGGUUGUUAGCACUCCCCAUAAAAGAAAUACAGGUCUGAACCACACGGAUCUACUUGCAUAAUAAUGGACCAAAUUUAUGAUUUUUAGAAAGAACCUUCUACUGGUGGAAUCUUGGGCUACUGUUGUGGCUCUCCUCUGUGUGCCUCCUUUUUAGAAUGGUAAAAUAUUCAAAAUACCAGAAAAUGUUCAUGAUUAAUGCAAAUAUUAAGAAUUGAAAUUAUUAAUUAAAUGAAGAUAAUAUGGUAAAUUCACACUUUUUCAUAUUAAAAAAAUUAAAAUUAAAAGAAAUAUCAGAUAAUUACUCUUAUUUUUAUGGAACACAGCUACCCAUUAUCUUUUUUAAUUAUAAAAUAAAUUUAAAUUAUAAAAAAAAAAUCCUCUCACAUGCACGGAAGCGCGUGCUCAGAGGCUAGUUAAAAAUAAUGAACUUUGCUUCUGAUGUCUAUACCAGACCCACUCAACCUGCUUUAUGAUUAUACAAAGAACAAACUCGUCCUUAGACUCAUUUGGUUAAACUUAGAAAAUAAUGAAACAAAAAUAUACACACCCACAAGUAACACAGCCAGGAUUGAAAACAACUGGACAAAGAAAGGCAUGUUAAAACAGAAUUUUCAACAACUCAUCACCAUUAGACAAGAAAAAGAAAAAUCAAUACAGAAACAGAAAGAACAGAGAAUAAAUGUGGUGGAAGAAAAACGUUGAAGCCAUUUGUGAAUCCAACAACACUACCACUCUGUUUCUCUCCUUUUGUUCAGGCGGAUCUGCAUAUAUCCUAAGGCGUAUUACGGAAACAACUUCUUGCCGUUAUACUUGAAUGUUGUGGAUGCUUCAACGUUGCCAUCUGGGUGGAGUGGAUUUGUCCAAUUCACCUUCACUAUGGUUAAUCAACUAGACAGACAUAAGUCAGAAACAAUAGGUAUAUAGGUCCAAAUUGUUGUUAUUUGAAAGGCUUCUAAAUUUUAACAUUUUGAUUUCUAAAUUUUGUUUUAAUAUUUCGGCCCACUUAGUUCUUCUCAAAAUAUGUCAUCAAUAUCGUUGAAAGGUUGAACUUAGUGAAUUAUUAUAGUGCAGUACGGUAAAAUAGGCACAUGAUAUAAUUUGUCCACAUGUUCUAAUAUAAGUGAAUAUUUAUUGAUAUUAUUUUCAAAAAUAAAAAAUAUCAACCAUUACAUCCUCCCAUAUUAUAAUACAUAUACAAAUUAUACCACAUUAUCAUACUCUAAUACCAUUUUAUAAUUUCUCGUACUUAGGAGGUAUAGAGCGAGUCAAUGACAUUACAUAAUAUAUAAUUGUUCAUAUAAUGGGGCAACUAACGUGAUCAACAAGUUGUGGUGAUUAAUUUAACAUAAUAAAAAACAUACCAUUUACUAUGUAACAAUUUGUUCUUUUAAAUUGGAUUGUCAUCACUUUAAUAUGUUAUGUUUCUUAUUCUAGUCUCCCAUGUUAAGUGCUUCAGCAUUGUUUGUGGUGUGUACACAAAUUUUCUUAUAAAAUGUUUUAAUGCUUCUCACAUGUAUAUCAGAUAUAGACAGUUGAUGUGACUUAGAAAUCAAAUUGUCAAUAAAGAAAAAAAAUAUAAUUGGUGAUCGAGGUCCAAUUUAAUAGAAAAUAGUCUUAAUUUGUAUAUUAAAGGUUUCAGAUUCGAAUCCUCACUGCAUUAUUGUUGUAUGCGUACACGAGAAAUUCUAUUUCCCAAUAAUUUAGAUUAUCACUUAUACUAAAAAAAAUAUAUAUAAUAAGUUUUACGAAUGCAAACAUAAAAUUACACCAAACAAUAAUGGAAUAGAAAGAUGGAAGUUUUUUUUUUUUCCUACAUCUAAAGUAUACUUUAUAUAUAUAUUUAUUAUGGGAGUUAUAACCGUUUAAUUUUCAGUUUUUAUUUUCUAUUUAUUGUGUUAAUUUUUAUGGUUUAAUAUGUAUGGAGAUUACAAGUAUUGGAUGUCUAUAAAGGGCCACUCCUCCUUCACAUCUGAAACAAACCACCAUCUCAUUUCUGUAUUUUCAUACUUUCAUAUAUUUUCUACUUUCCAGAUUAUUAUUUUUGGGCAACGGUUUUGUGACUUGGAGAUUUCUAUCCGAUUGUUAACAUGCUCAUAACGGACCUUGAGCUUGCGUAUUGGGGAUCGUAUCUUGGAGCCUUGUAGACCUUUAUUACGUGCAUGUAGGGAGGCUACAAAUGCUUUAGGUCAGCGUCUUUGACGUACUUUUGCUUUCUUUUUUUACUUAUUUCUUCGUUUCUUUAUUUUUACUUUACUUUUAAAUCUUUAUUUUAUGUAUUAUUUAUAUUUAAAAGUUUUGAAUAAGAGUUUUACAGAAAAGGAAAAACACAAUUUCAAAUAACACAAAUUUCUCGUUUUUUGUUCUUAAAAAAGAAGAAGCAUUGAUUGGGGAGUUAUGGUAAACUCAGUUUCAAUGGUUGCGAUGAGAGGCGGUGGCGGCGAGGAGAGGACGAAGGCUUUGCUGCCGACGGGGUGGUGUGGCUGGCUGCUUGGUCCUGGGUUCUCCUUUAAUUCUCUGUUUUCUUUUUUCAUUUUCUUUUUCUCUUAGAGUUAUUGAUGUUAAGUGAAUGGACAGAUGCCAAAAUAGGGACAGAAGAUGUGAACCCAAUUAUAUACAGCUGCUGCUAUAGCUGAUUACAUAAAGUAACAAAUUAAUUAAUGCUUGAGUGGAGGACAGGCUUGAGUGGAAGAAUUGAUUAAGGCUUGAGUGGAAGACAAACUUCAGUGGAGGAAAGUAUAGAUAAGGAAAGCAUGCCUCGUUUAACGGCUUUAUCUAAUAAAGAUUACUUGUUGGCACUUGGAGUUUCUUAGGAAUGCUGGUUUUGUUUCCUUGGUGGACUUGAAAGGUGGUGCCUUGGCUCGGACAUCUCCCAAGACAUACAACUGCUCAUUAGCUGAAUAUCUCGCUCUCUUUAAAGAGAUCGAAGCAAACACAAUUUGCAAUUUGUGUGAUUCAAGCAUGAAUAUCUGAUAUAGUAACUAUACCAUUUGUUGGUUUGAUAAGAAAAGUUUGGUUAGCGAGGAUGAAACCAUAAAGUUCCCAAAACACACAAAGAACACGGACAAUUGCUAAGUUUAUUCUUGAGUUCACACAUAUUUGCACAAAUGAGAUUAUUCCAAGCAUGAUUAUACCAUUUGUUGGUUUGAUGUGAAAAGUAUGGGCAACGAGGGGUAAAACCAUACAAACACACACGAAGAACGUGGACAAUACUAAAUUUAUCUUUACGUUAUUGAUCCGACCUAACUGUAAAAUAAAAAAGAUGAAAAUAUAUAAUGUUCAGUACUUAGAUCUAUGAGCACUUGCACAAAACAUCACUUUUGGUCUUUGGUAAAUUUUUAAAAUAAAUGAAUUUUUUACUUAUUUGUGAACUGAAAUGCCUCUAAAAAAAUAAUGAUAGUUCGAAGAAUUUGAUAGAAAUUAAAAAAUAUCCUCAAAUUACUUGGAAUUGAAGACCACAUAGGCAAAAACACGAAAUUGAAACCUCACUUUAAUGAUAAAAAUGGUAAACUACAAAGACAAAAAUGACGUCUUGCCUUAUAAAUAAUUGGAAUUUGCUGGUGAUAAUAGUCGAUAUCAUCUUUUGUCGGUCCGACCUAAAAAGAAGAAAAAGUUAAAAGCAUCUUGUACCAAUUUUUGCCAAUGUGGGCCCAAACAAUUUGAAGAAGUCCACCGGCAAUUUCUCAAAAGCUAUUGUGUGAGUGUGAAGCUAAACCAAUAUUAUUUUGCAUAUCCGACCCCACAUCCCCAUGUGAUGUGAGGCUACAGAGGUGUUUCCAAAACGAAAUAUGAUAUUUCAAAACGUAGCUAUGUAUAGAGUCAUUUGUAUUUGCUUUCACAAUAACAUUUGAUUUUAUAUUUAUACAUUCUGAUAUUUUAACAAAUAAAUUGACUAAAUUUGGCCAACAGGAUUUAGCCGAAUAGAAAAGUUCUUAUUUAUGGACUAGUAAUUUUAAAUUUAAAAUUUAGACUAUCGCAUGUAUUUAAAAAAAACUAAACAAUUGGCUUAAUUUGAUAUAUUUCCUUUUUUUCCUUUUUGCAUUUUAUGCUGGUUGCCGUUAUUAAGUUUUAUCCUUAUUUUUUGUUGAAAAGAAAAUUGAAAAAAAUAAUAAUAAUUCCUACAGCUAGCAACUUCUCCACCUACAAAAAAUAAUAUUUUUUGUUUUAUCCUCAUGUGAGGCUACAGAAAAUUUUUGAAAACGAAACUGGAUAUUUUAUCUCUAACGACAGCUUUCAUACUUCGUUUACCCUGUGUUUCCAAGUUGUGCUAGCUAUUUGCAAACCUUGGAAUAUUACUUCAUCCAAAUCCCUUGCAGAGAAAAGAAAGAUAUGGCUUUGAUCGGAGAGGCCCUCAUCUCUGCUACCAUCCAGACGUUGUGUGACAAAAUUGCUUCGCCUGAGUUCACCGACUUAUUUCGGCAGAAAAAGCUCGAUGAACAACUCCUCAACAAGCUGAAGACGACGCUGUUGACCUUGUCCGUAGUGCUUAAUGAUGCAGAGGAGAAGCAAAUUGAGGAACCUUUAGUGAGAGACUGGCUUGACAAUCUCAGACAUAAUGUCUUGGCUGCGGAGGACUUACUGGAUGAAAUCGACACUGAAGCUUUGCGAUGCAAACUGGAAGAAGGUGAAGGUCAAACCCACAAUUUAACCAAGAAGGUACGUGAUUUUUAUCAACGCAUGAAUGUUGAGAUGAAAGAUUUAUUAGAAAGAUUAGAACAAUUUGUACAAGAGAAAAGUGCUCUUGGUUUGAGAGAAGGUGCUGGGAGGAAGGUUUCACGAAGAACAACAACUUCCUUGGUUCAUGAACCUUGUGUCUAUGGUAGAGAUGAAGUCAAAGAAAAUCUGUUGCCAAUUUUGUUAUCUGAUGAUGCAAGUAAGGAUGAUGUGUCUGUCCUCACCAUUGUUGGAAUGGGUGGGAUUGGCAAGACAACCCUUGCCCGACUGCUUUAUAAUGACGAUGAGGUGAAAGAACAUUUUCCACUUCACGCUUGGGUUUGUGUUACGGAAGACUAUGAUUCUAAUAGGAUAACUAAAACUCUUCUAGAGUCAGUCACCUCAAAGUCUUCUAAUAUGACAGAUCUAAAUUUACUUCAAGUUGAACUAAAAGAACAACUCAAGGGAAAGAAAUUCUUAUUUGUUUUGGAUGACCUAUGGAAUGAGAAAUAUGGUGAUUGGAAACGCCUCCAAACUCCUUUUACUUCUGGGGCAAGGGGAAGUAAAGUCAUUGUAACAACACGGAGCCAACAUGUAGUAUCUGUCCUGCAAAGUGUUCAUGUUCAUCACUUGGAACCCUUGUCGCACGAAGAUUGCUGGUUCUUACUUGCAAAACAUGCAUUUGGAAAUGAAAAUUGCAGUGAUCCAAACUUGGAAGAAAUUGGCAAGAAAAUUGCACACAAGUUCAAUGGGUUGCCUUUAGCUGCAGAAACACUUGGGGGUUUGUUACGUUGCAAUAUAGAUUCAGAGGAAUGGAAUACAAUACUAAAUAGCAGUAUUUGGGAGCUACCCUAUGAUAAAUGUGACAUUCUUCCGGCUCUUGGGUUGAGUUACCAUUAUCUCUCCUCCCAGUUAAAACGAUGCUUUGUUUAUUGUUCAAUUUUUCCAAAGGAUUAUGAGUUUAAAAAGGAAGAUAUAGUUCAAUUUUGGAUGGCAGAAGGUUUAAUUCCAAAAGCUGAGAAUGGAAAGAGCAUAGAAGCGGUAGCUAGAAAAUACUUUGAUGAGCUGUUGGCACGAUCGCUAUUUCAAAAGUCAAGCAAAUCCGGUUUCACAAUGCAUGAUCUCAUUAAUGACUUGGCCAUGUUCAUGUGUAAGGCAUUUUGCCUUAGGUUGGAAGGGGGGGAAUCACAUGUCGUAGAAAAAGUUCGGCAUUUUUCAUAUGCUAUGGAAAGAUUUGAUGCAGCUCCAAAAUUUGAGCCAUUACAUAGGGCUAAGUUUAUGCGGACCUUUCUACCCAUAUCAUUAAAUUUUGUUUCCACUUCUUAUGUAACUAAAAAGGUUCUACAAGAUUUGUUGCCGUCACUAAGAUGUUUACGGGUGUUAUCAUUGUCACAUUAUCAAAAUGUUACUGUGUUACCUGAUUCUAUUGCAAACCUCAUUCACUUGCGCUACUUGGAUCUUUCCGGUACCGCAAUUGAAAGGUUACCUGGGGUACUUUGCAAUCUCUACAACUUGCAGACAUUACUAUUGUCAAAAUGUUUCUCACUCCUUGAAUUGCCUGCAGACAUUAGAAAAUUGACUAAUUUACAGAAAUUGACAUUGCUCGGUUGUAGUUCUCUUAAUAAAUUGCCUGCAGGCAUGAAGGAGUUGACUAAUUUGCAUCAUCUUGAUGUCAGUGGAACUAAAAUUGAAGAGAUGCCGGUGCAAAUGGGUAGAUUGAAAAGUUUGAGAACAUUGACUGCAUUUGUUGUGGGCAAAUCUACUGGGUUAGGCAUAAGAGAACUGAGGCAGUUCCCGCAACUUCGAGGAAAACUAUCAAUUUUGAAGCUACAAAAUGUAGUUGAUGCGAGGGAUGCACUGCACGCCAAUAUGAAGCACAAGAAAGAUCUCAAGGAGUUAAAGUUUUCAUGGGGUGCGGAGGAUGCUGAUGAUUCCCAAAAGGAGAAAGAUGUACUCGACAAGCUCCAGCCUUGCGUGAAUUUGGAGAAAUUAUCCAUCAAAUUCUAUGGUGGAACCAAUUUUCCGAAUUGGUUAGGAGACUCGUCUUUUUCUAACAUACAAGUCAUGCAUCUCAGUGACUGUAGUUAUUGUUGGUUGCUCCCACCAGUUGGACGGCUACCGGCACUCAAAGAGCUCUGUAUAAAAAGAAUGAAGUCUUUGAGGACGAUUGGCGUUGAAUUCUAUGGCAGAAAUGGAGCUUAUCUGACUCAGCCAUUUCGAUCUCUGGAGAAGCUAGAGUUUAGGGGGAUGCCGGAGUGGGAGGAAUGGGUACCAAGUGGAAGUGCAAGUGGAGGUGAAUAUGGUCCAGACUUUCCUCGUCUCCAAAAGCUGAUUCUAAACGAGUGUCCGAAGCUAAGAGGAAGUUUGCCUUGUGAGUUGCCUUGCUUGAAGAAGCUUACGGUGUAUGGGUGUAAGGUUUUACAUGAUGGAAGGACCGCUACCGCAACUACCAAUAGUGUUAACUAUAAAUCUCUGGAAGAAUUGGAUAUAAGUGGUGGAUGCCAAACUCUGUUAUCAUUAUUAGAGACAAAGCUCCUGUCCCGACUUCGGAUUCGAAAUGUUGUUGACAUACAGUGCUUGCCCAACUGCAAUCGUCUUCAACGUUUGACUCUUUGCCUAACGCUGUCAUCGUUUCCCAAAGAUGGCCUACCCACUACAUUGACAUCACUUUAUAUAAACAAUUGUAGGAAAUUAGAAUUCCUACCUCAUGAGAUGUUGGCCAAAUUAACAUCGCUUGACUAUUUGUGCGUACAAAAUAGCUGUGAUUCAAUGAGGUCCUUCCCGUUGGGCAUUUUUCCCAAAUUGACGACGCUUCAAAUUCGUGGUUGUGAGAAUCUGGAAUCUUUUUCCUUGAUUGAAGAAGAAGGAGCUGUUGACAAUCUCAGCCAUCUCAAUUCCUUGCGUGUCUAUAACUGUCCAAAAAUGGUGUGUUUUCACGAGGGAGAAUUGCCCACUCCCAACCUGAGUCACUUUGUAGUCAUUGGUUGCGAGAAUUUGAAGUCAUUGCCCGAACGCCUUCACACCCUCACUGCCCUUCGAUCUUUGAAUAUAUGGAAUCUUCCGAAUCUGGAGUCAUUUGCAGAAGAUGGGGGUUUGCCUCCCAACCUCCGAUCUUUUAUCAUUAGGAAUUGUAAGAGACUGAGGGCACUUGACUCAGUGGGUUUGCAAGCACUUGUCUACCUUCAGAUCGAUGGAAGUGACCAUGUCUUGGAGACGUUGCUGCUCCCUACCACUCUUCACACUCUCUGCAUCUCUGAUCUAUCAACUCUGAAAUCUUUGGACGGAAAGGGUCUUGGACACCUCACUUCUCUUCAAACUCUAAAAAUUUACAGCUGUCCAAGUCUUCAAUGCCUGCCAGAAGAGGGUUUGCCGCCAUCUCUUUCUCAUCUGAGUAUCCGCUGUUGUCCUACCCUGGAGGAAAGGUAUAAGAAUAAAACGGGACAAGAUUGGGCAAAGAUAUCUCACAUUCCUUGCAUCGAGAUAGGGGAAGAAGUGAUCAUAUAAUAUGAGCUAUUCCAUAUUUCACGCUCAACCCUCAACUCUCAAAUCAAAGUCAGGUGAGGUAUGUGCCUUCUCUUACUUUAAAAAACUGCUUCUCUUCUUCUAAUUGAAUACAAAAACCAAAACACAUAUUCUCUUUCUCUUCCAAAAACCCAAAUACAUGUUGGACAUUGCCCAAAUUUGUCUCCAAAUUCCUAGUUUAAAUCAAAUUUAAUGCCUAUGGAUAGUUUGUUAAUAGGUUCAUGCCAUGAAUUAAUCUUUGGACUUUCCCAGGUACUGCAGGUUUGUUAUUAAUGUUGUGGCCUGAUAUUCGUCGUAUCAAUACGUUGAGGAGAGAGAUCGAUCAGCAAUUACAAAAUUGUUAGUGAAUUUAGCUUGUUUAUCAUCUCUCUCCUUUUGUUUGUUAAGUUUUGUUGUUCUAGGUUAAACCCUUGUCCCCGCAUUUCACAGCAACUCUGUGUUUUUCCACUCUGUUUAGAUUUCACUAGCAGGAGAGCCCGCGCGAUGCUGCGGGUUUUGAAAUUGUGUAGACAAAAUUAGAUUGUUUAUAUAUACAAUGAGAUUUAAUUUAUAACAUUAUGUUUAACUACAGGAGUGUAAGUUGCAAAAAAGUAUAUAAUAACAUAUUUUACAGGCUACUUGUUAUGGUAAAAUACUAUACUUGUUUGUAUAUACAUUGAGAUGUUUAUAGUAGGAAGUAGGCAUCAAAAUAGCAAAAGUUGGAUAGUUUUGUACAGAAUGUUAUUUAAUUGGGCAAGCUUUGUUUUGCACUUGCUUCAUGAUUUUUCUUCUCUUUCAUGGAAGUCUUGAUCCUGUUAUAAAAAAAAGUGAGAAAAUAGUAAAUGUUAAUAUUGAUGAAUGGGGGAAAUUGAGUUAGGACAAUAAUCAUAAACAUUUAAUUAUGUAUAAACAGGAAUAAUAUAAUUUAUUGAUUUAAUAAGAAAGUUAUAAAUAGUUUUUCAAUCUAGGAAAUACAAAGUUACAAAAUUAAGAGAACUAAUGAGCAAGUUGUAGAUGGUUUUCUAAUUGAAGUAAUACAAAGUAAACAUAUUUUAAAUUUUGUGUUUGUCUAAAAGAAAAGUUGAAGAGAGGCAAAAUAAUUAUGGUUGAAUAUAUGGAGAAAAGGAUGUCAAUAUAAUGUUUAGGUUUUUAUGUAUUAGGAAUAUAUGACUUUUUUGCUGUUAUUUAGAGCAAAAAUUAUUUAAGGGCUUGACAUUUCUGUUAAAAAACGGGUAGAAUCUACCCUGAAAAAUGGACAUUUUGCCAAAAAAUUCACCUGUAAACUAAUUAGUACUGAAUACCGAUUGGCGAAGGCAAGACAAUCAUAGUUGUGGAGUACAUAGUUAGAAAGAUGAAUGUGCAAACGUACAUCUAACCCCAUGAUAUACAUCUAACCCCAUGUGAACAUGAUUUAUUCUACAACAAUGAUUAUCAAUUUUCUAAUUGCUCAUUUUCCUAACCCUAAUCAUCACAAACCCAAAAUUAACUCUAAAAAUUUCAAAUAAGCAUGGUUCUAAACCAAUUUCUAACUUACUUAGCGAAGUCUUUUCUAUAAAUGAUAGUUGUUGAAGAAAAAGGGAAACGAAAAUAAGCUUUUAGUGUAUAAGUACAUUGAAGCAAAACAUGAAGAGAAUCCAAUAUAUAACUUCAAUAUAUAACUUUAAUUUUCUAUAAGUGUUGAUCUAAAUUUACAUCCCUUACCACUCUUCAAUUUAAAAAUAGUUUUAGCUACAACAAACAACUUCAGAGAGAAGAUUUGGCCCUGUUUUAUAAGGCAAAACCUCUCUAACCACAUGACAUACAUCUAACUCCAUGUGAACGUGAUUUAUUCUACAACAAUGAUUAUCAAUUUCCUAAUUGCUCAUUUCCCUAACCCUAAUCAUCACAAACCCAAAAUUAAUUCUAAAAAUUUCAAAUAAGCAUGGUACUAAACCAAUUUCCAACUUACUUAGUGAAGUCUUUUAUAUAAAUGAUAGUUGUUAAGGAAAAACGGAAACAAAAAUAAGCUUUUAGUGUAUAUGCACAGCACAGAAAUUGCAUGUAGCUUUCCGAUUUUUAUCCCAACUUCGUUUCUGUGGAAUCACAAAACUACAUACGCACAGCACAGGGAAGGGAAAAAAAAAAAAAGGCACAUUUAAGAGACACCUAUCUUCUCAUUCUACAUCACAUCCUCUUUUCCUAGCUUUCCAACCUUGCAACCAAAGCAAACAUCUUUCCUGAUAAAGGGUAGGAAAGAAAGUGGUUGUGUGAAUUGGGAUGAGAGAGACAGAGACAGAGACAGAGACAGAGAGACAAAGAGAGAGAGAGAAAAGAGAAAUCAAAGUAUAUAUAUAAAUAGUAAGUAUAGUUUAUAUCAUGCAAAGUUUUGAUGGUUUCGUUCAAAAAAAAAACAGGGAAAAAGUUUUGAUGGGUAAUUCUAGUAAUAAUGUUCUUAUAAUUCUAUAUAUAUAUAGAUAUCAAACUGUACUACCAUAUUCUUCCUAUAUAUACACUUGGUCGUCAACUACCUCUCUCUCUCUCUCUCUCUCUCUCUCUCUCUCUCUCUCUCUCUCUCUCUCUCUGUGACCUGCAUUUAUACAGAACCAAUUAUUCCAUCUUCACUAUACAUUUUCCUCAUCUUCCCAUUCAUAUUUUAUGGCUCUCUUGUUCUUCCUCCUAAUUCUUUUGGUCCCUGCAAGCAAUACUAAUUGGCCACCAUCACCUGGCUACUGGCCAAGUUCUAAAUUCAGGUCUAUGAGCUUUUAUAAAGGAUUUAAAACUCUCUGGGGUCCUCAGCAUCAAAGCUUAGACCAACAUGCAUUAACAAUCUGGGUUUAAUGAGGCCAGAAAAUUUUAAGAACUUAUCUACCAAGCAUACCAAACUGACAAAGCAAACCAUAUCUGUAUUUUAUCAUCAAUUUCAUCAAUUUUAUCACCAACAACAGAUAAAAAAAGGGAAUUUUUUCAAAAAAAAAAAAAAGGAAAAAACAUAAAUAAAAAAAGGGGCACAUUUAAGAGAGACCUAUCUUCUCAUUCUACAUCACAUCCUCUUUUCAUUUUGAAGCGGUCAUGUGUUGUGAGUUUCUUGUUUUAUAAAUUUUCAAAACUGUUGUUUAGAACUGCAAAAUUCUUCAUCAUAUAUCUUGCCUUCUAAUAUACAUUCUGUAUCAGGAAACUGGAAUGAGGCUUGCUCUUUGAGGAAGAGAAAUAAAAGAAAAAGUUGUGGCAAAGGUUCACGGAUGUAGUUGGAUUGUAGUGGGACAGAGAACAAAUUUAUUUGUUGCAGGGGAAAAGUCUCAUCCAAAUGCUAUGAAAUCAUGGCAACUUUAAAGUAUUGGACAGCAAUAAUGAAAGAAGAGGGCUAUGUUGGUGACACAGAUUCUUGCUUGCAUGAAUAAGAGGGAGAAAAGCCCCUAUGGUAUUGACUGUUGCCGCCAAGUGCAUAUUGUUAUUACUAUGCGUACUACAUCCCAAGGCCUCUCUCAGCAGGAUUACAAAGUAAACCAGAAUUACUAUCCCAGCAGUAUUCUGCAACUUUGCUCUGCACUUCCUUAUGUAAUCUCUCUCUCUCUCUCUCUCUCUCUCUCUCUCUAUAAAUAUAUAUAUACACACACACACACACACACACAUAUAUCUAGGCAUGCAUAUUUAUGAGUUCCCCAUUGAGGAGGGAUUCCCUUUUGAGGAUUUUAUAAUUAGAAUUAGACUGCCUUCUUAACCAAUAGUUGGGUUUGUGUGGUAAGGUAUGCUGGGUUUGUUGAUGUGGAUAUUUAUGCCUGGAGGUGCUUUGUUUUACUACUUCGUUGAAGUAGAAACAGACACUGACAAAGAAGCCCUUCAUUCUUUGUCUCAAUAGUGAUUGGUUUCUUUGAUCCUAUUCAUCAUAUCUGGUGGUGAGGUUGCCUAAUCAGCCAAAUGUUGGGUUCAACUACCUCUCUCUCUCUCUCUCUCUCUCUCUCUCUCUCUGUCUCUCUCUCUCUUUCUCUCUCUCUCUGUGACCUGCAUUUAUACAGAGCCAAUUAUUCCAUCUUCACUUUACAUUUUCCUCAUCUUCCCAUUCAUAUUUUAUGGCUUUCUUGCUCUUCCUCCUAAUUCUUUUGGUCCCUGCAAGCAAUACUAAUUGGCCACCAUCACCUGGCUACUGGCCAAGUUCUAAAUUGGCCAGAAAAUUUUAAGAACUUAUCUACCAAGCAUACCAAACUGACAAAGCAAACCAUAUCUGUAUUUUAUCAUCAAUUUUAUCGCCAACAACAGAUAAAAAAAGGGAAUUUUUUCAAAAAAAAAAAAAAAAAAGGAAAAAACAUGUUUAGUCUUUGCUUUCCAAUGUUUUAUCCAAAAACCUGAAAAUCAAAGUAACUAAAUAAAUGAACCCAAUCAUUCCUAAUUUCUAUUUUGUCAAAACCUAAUUAAGCUUCACUUCUUUUUUGCUUGUAUUUUAUCAUCAAUUUCAUCUAUUUUAUCACCAAUAGCAGAUAAAAAAAGGAAAUUUUUUCAAUUAAAAAAAAAAAAAACAUACUCAGUCUUUGCUUUCCAAUGUUUUAUCUAAAAACCUAAAAUCAAAGGAAUCAAAUAAAUAGGGUUUAGGGCUCAAGAACCUGAAAUCAAAAGAACCAAAAAAAUGAACACAACUCUACAUAGCACGAAAAAUCUCCCAGCCAACAAUCAAAUUCAUGAAAUAAAUACCAAAAGAUCUGUUAAAAAAUUGAUGAGAUGCAUACCUGAAAACAAAGGAUGCAACAAAGAUGGAAGCCUGAGUCGAAGCAAGAACGAUGGAAGCCUGAGUCGAAGCAAGAAAGAUGGAAGCCUGAGUCGAAGGUUGUAGAAAAGACGAAAUCUCCCGAUCCCAAAUCUGUGACACGAAGACUGAAAGCACGGCUGGAUUUGCAGCUCACCUCCCAAACAAAAAUCGACGGCCUUCAACGCAUCUCCAGCAACGAACACAACUCUUCCAUGGCUGCCCCCCAACCAGCUGGUUGGAAACGAACGGGAGAAAAUGGUUUCUCUCAGCGGACGAAACCAUCUCAACGAAGGGGGAGGGGCAAAAACGGGAACAAAAGAAACUGUUUAGUCAAGGGCAGUUUCGUCAUUUAACUGUGCUGCAGGAAAAAAAACGAAAACAGCAGAAAAAUGAGGGGCAUUUCCGUCAUUACACUGUGCUUAGCUACAGUGUUUAGUUGCAUUGGGUUUUAGUAUAUAUAUAAUUUAUGUUGUGAUUCGACUGCUGCUGUAUUUUAGAUUUAUAGGAACAGACCAAACAUGUUGAUUCUAUCACCAAAAUUAUAAAGUAUACUUCCAUUACAAUUAAUUUGUUGAUUCUAAUUUGGACUUGUAGGAACAGACCAAACAUGUUCAUACGUGGCAUUGCUCAAGUCAUCAUCAUUCGGGACAGAGAAUAAGCCUUCAAAUGUCUGCUGAGUCAAUGAACCUUUCUAGAUAUCUCAAGUGUAAUGGAAAUUGAUGAGUUACAAAGGAUUUGUAAACAUUUUCUACUGGAGGCUAGAAAUGCUUCAAAUAAAUGACUCUGUUGCAAUUAUUUUGUAGGAUCAAAGACUCUGCAAAGAGGUAAGAAAGUCAUCAUCAAGUAACUUCGCUCUUCAUACUUUUUAUUAGGGGUGGGCAUUGGAACCGCAAAACCGCAAAACCGAACCAACCCAAUCCGAAAAAAACCGAAAAAAACCGUGUUGACCGAAAAAGUCAAAAACCGAGACAAAUCCAAACCGAACCGGUUCAGACCGGUUCCGGUUCCGAUUUUCCACCUUAAGGAACCGGUCCAAUCCGAACCGGUCCAAUAUAAUUAAUUUUUAUAUUAUAUUUAUAUUUAUAUUUAAAAUAUCAAAUUUUGUAGGCCCAAACCCAACUAUUUCAUUAUACCAACAAAAAGCCCAAAUCUCCCAAGUCCAUUGCCCAAGUCCAACAAGCCAUAUUUUAAUAUCCUAAUCACAUCAAAUCUCACUUCACUCUCUCUCUCUGACGCACUCUCUCUUUUCCUCUCAGAUUUUUUUUACUCUCUUUUUCUUUCUUUCUUCUCUCUUCCGCCUCUUUUCCUCUAGGUUCUUUAACUUCUUUUUACUUCUUUCUUUCUUCACUCUUCUGCCUCUUUUCCUCAGUUUUUUCUUCUUCUUUCUCUCUUAUUCUUUCUCCUCUCAAUUCGUCUCCAUUUUUUUUCCCUCUCUUUCUCUGAUUUUCUGUUACUCUGAUUUUUUUCUUCUUGGUUUUAUGUUUCUCUCUCUCCCUCUAUAUCUCUUUCUUUGCAACUCUGUUUUUCAAUUUCUCCUUUUUUUUCUCUCUUCAUUUUUUGUUUCUCUGUACAUAUAUGUGUUCAUCUUGUAGAUCUGGGUGAAAUUCUUGUAGAUCUAGGUGAAGUUCUUGGAGAUCUGCGUUAAGUUCUUGUAGAUCUAGGUAAAGAGCCAAUUCAAAGCAGGUCAGCGUCUCUUAUCUCCCCAAUCCCUUGUGAAGAUAUGUAUUUUUUUUGUUGUCAACAAUCCAUUUUGGUGUUUUUAUAUGGUAUUGAUAUUUUCUAUGAUUUUGGGCUGAUUUGAGGUCUGAUUCUUUUUUUUUCUUUCAAUUUUUUCCUGUUGUGUUUUGAUAGACAUGUUCUCUAUUCCUGAUAUCAUUCCUCAGUGGCAAAAUCUUUGAGCGUUGUUGUAAAUUUUAGACGGGAAAGAAGCUCAUUCAUAAUUCAAAAAAAGAAAAUAAAGUUACAACAACUGACAAUUUGUUGCUCUUUGAAAUAGGUACUGAAGUAGCAUGGAUAAAAAGAAAGACUGAAGAUGUUGCAGAAGAUUGAAUAUGUUCUAUUUCUGUAAUUUGUUUGUAAUUAAAUUUGUUUAUUUUGUUUUGUUUUUAGGUUGUAAGUUUUAUUUUAAUGUUUGAUAUUUGUUGUUUUGUCAAAAAAUUGUAUUAAUGCUUGAUGGAUUCAUUCAAUUUGCAGUGCGUGGAUGUGAAUUGGGCCAAUCGGUAAUAAUUAGGCCCAAAAGGUUUUAAAUAUCAAUUGGGCUGAAACUUACAAAAAAAUUUAAGAACAAAAAAAAAAUCAAUUAAGCUGUGUGUCGGCCCAAACCGUAAAAACCGGAACCGAACCGGAUUCAAAUGGGUUCGGGUUGGUCCGGUUUUCUCAAGCAUUUUAGUAAAAAUCCGAACCGGACCGGACCGGUGAACAGUACCGGUUCCGGUUUUAAAUUGAUGCAAAAACCGGUCCAAACCGGACCGUGCCCACCCCUAUUUUUUAUUUUUAUUUUUAAAUAUCAGUAAUAACUGGGAAAGCUUGCAUCUCCUUAAAUUGCUCAUUCUUACAUCUUUUAUAGUUUGUUGAUCUUGGGCAAGUGGAGAGAGAGGCGUCAAGUGAUACGCAACAACCAUUUUCUGUGAGCUGAUUUGAUAAAGAGAAAUGGUAUGCUUUCUUGUCUUAAGCGGUGUGUUCUGCAAUUAUUUGAAACAAAGGAUGCCGCACUUCAAGUUCGAGAAAAUCAGGUAUUUUAGUAUUUUAUUCUUGAGAAAUUUGAUUUAUGUAGAAACUUGAACAUGUAAAUGAGAGAAAAAAAAAUAAAUAUAUAUAUAUAUUAUAUAUUGUAUAUGCUGUUAAUGAGUUAAUAUGGUGCUUGCUCCUAGUUGGAAAUUUAUGUAGUCAUCUACCUAUGAUCAAAUAAAGAUGAAAAAUAAAAUAAAAUUGAGAGCAUCUUCCUCUCCCCUGCUUUGCUCAUCCCUUGUUCUUCCACUUCAGCCCCACUAUUACACCAUUUUUUUCAGCCACAAUUAUAAUAGCUCCAUGAGCAUUAAGUCCCUUUCAAAUUCUGCUGACAUUCAAAAUUGGAAUCUGCUGGUGAUAUAUGAUAGCGUUAACAUAUUGUACCAUUUUGGCCAGUGUACGCAAUAUUAUUGCAUCCAACUUUGCAUAUUAACAUCAGUGGCCACAGUUACACGAUUUGAGUGCACAGAAAGGUUUCAAAAGUUGUCCCACAGAGAACAGUCGUUCAAAGUGAGAGAGUUUUGAAAGCUUAAUUACAAGUUCAUGUUGUUUACAACCUCAAAAAGCUUUCAUACUUGCUUACAAACCUGUAUUUCCAAGUUCUGCAAACCUUGGAAUAUCACUUCAUCCAAAUCCCCUUCCAAAGCAGGAAAAAAUGGCAGCAGCUUUGAUUGGAGAGGCUCUCAUCUCUGCUUCUAUCGAGGUGUUGUGUGACAGAGUUACUUCAGCCGAGUUCAUAGACUUAUUUCAGCAGAAGAAACUUGAUGAAACACUCCUCAUGAACCUGAAGACGACACUGUUGAUUUUGUUUGCGGCGCUCAAUGAUGCAGAGGAGAAGCAAAUUGUGAACCCUGCUGUGAUAGAGUGGCUUAACAGCUCAAGCAUGCUGUCUUUGAUGCAGAGGACUUACUUGAUGAGAUUGACACUGAAGCUUUGCGAUGCAAGCUGGAAGGUGAGGAUCAAACCCACAAUAAUUAACCAACAAGGAUCUUUUUGAUUGUUUGAAAGGAGGGUCUUUGAUGAUUUGAAAGGAGAGGGUUGCUUCAUUUCUGUUGGAUGCUUAAUUAAAUCUUAUCUGGACUUGAACAAGGAUUAGGUUAGCUGUAUAAUUCGUGGUAAACACCUUUUUCUAAGGUUCAUUUAGACUCCUAUUACGAUUAAUUUGUUGUUUCUAAUUUGGACUUGUAGGAACAGACCAAAUAUGUUCACACGUGGCAUCGUUCAAGUCAUCAUCAUUUCAGACAAAAUCAGCCUUCAAGUGUCUGCUGACUCAAUGAACCUUUCUAGAUAUAUCAAGUGCAAUGGAAAUUCAAGAGUUACAUAGAGAUUUGUAAACAUUUUGAAGAUUGCAACACCUGCAAGUGAGAUAGGUGGUGACGAAAUCAGAGCUGAUCUUGAAGCCUCUGAUGCCCCUGUCGUUGCAAGUUGCACCUGAGAACAUGGUUUUUUUUUGGGUAAAAAACCAGCAACAUGUUCGGGGCUGGCAAUUCAAUCCCUGAUGAACUUGAGAAGCAAAGCUCCAGUAAGGAAAUUGGUCGAGGUCACGACAGGGAUAAUUGAUGGUGAAAUGGAUGCUAUUUCUUAUUGCAGCCUGUUCUCAAAGUUCUUGUUGGCAAAAGCAAGAGAUGGAGUAUUUUGAUUGGGAGGAGAGAUAAUGACAUGUGUUGACAAUUCUAGAACAGCCCAUCUGAGUUCUUUUGUCAGGCUGCAUCAUUUAAUCCCAGCAAAAAUCCAGUUUUUGCUAAACAAUCAAAUUGUACACAUUUUUUCUUUUCGAGGAAUUUAACAUUACACAUUUUUUCAUUUUUUCAUCAAACAGUUUUCUAAUGCAUUUGUUGUCCCAAGUUACAAUGAGGAAUUUGGAUUGAGUUUCUUGUGUUAAUAACAUUAUACUUUCAUGGAAUGGUUUAUCUUCUUUUUCUGGACAAAAAUAUUUAGAUUAAUUUCUUGGAAUAAUUUUUUAAUAAUUUUUUAAUUGCAGUAGCGAAAAAAGGAAAAUUGUAUUUUUCAAAACCAAUCUUAAGUCCAGUUUCCUCUUCUUGGUCGUCACACUUGGAAAUUGCUAACCAUAUAUAACUUGGGGUAACAAUCUUAGUCCGAAUGUGUACGAUCUUAGUCCGAUCAAUGGCUACGCGUAUUGGCUCGGCCUUGGGGUCUACCAUUCCAGUGUACAAGCUUCCUGGGUCUUGGGGCAAUUCCUUCAAAUUGUACACAUGUUUUCUUUGAGAAGCAAGGCUCUAGUAAGGAAAUUGGUUAUGUAACAAAUUUUGGUCCCUUUGGAUGGAAUGAUUUACAAUGAGGAAUUUUAUUAUUAUUAUUUUGUUUUUGUUGUUAGUGUAAUGAAAAUGAUCUAGGUUCAUACACUGGGUAUAGCUCUAAUUUGGCCAAUUUCAUUAUUUUAGUUUCUUCAUAUUUUCAAUUAUUAUAAUUUGGUGCGUUGUUUUUUAAAAACAUUCAUGAGAAUCUCCAUUUUUUAGGUGUUUAAGUUAUUCAUCCACAACGGUUUUAUAAUACCGUCAUCUUUUCAAACACAACGAUGAUUUUUUAAUCUAUCGUCGUUGUUUUCUGAUCGUCUUUUUCACUUUUUGUAGUAGUGUCAAUAAGUAAGAUGAAAUAAUACAUUCACAAUCUGUUUAAAUUUUAAAUUAAAAAAAACACAAGAAAAUUUUAAAUAAGUAAGUAAUUUUAAAUAUAUAUUUCCAUUGUUUUGGUUUUCUUUUCAUAUUAGUUUUCUACUAGCUGCUAAUUUCAUUUAAAUUGUUUUUCUUACUUCAUUUAACUUUUAAGCAUGCAGAUGCAAUCAUGACUUCUUCUUUUUUUCAAUAGACUGAUUCUCUUCCCACAUAUAUAAUGCUCUCUAAGUAUUCGUAAUAUGAGUAGGAAUUUAUUUUCAUUUCACAAGAAUUGUCCAUCAAAUUCUGAUAGGUUUGUCGAUAGCACAAGCAUGCACAUAUAGACACUACAAGAACUUUGUUUCUUCAUUUUGUUUCCUAAAGAUUUGUUGGCUUCGUGCAGAUGAAUAACAAGUCUCUCUGUCCUCUAUUUCUUCUUUUUCUUUUUUAACAAUUCAUAUUCUACUUUCUGUUUUCACCCAGUAAAAAUUGAUUUUAGACAUGGGCUUCUAAAUUAUGUGCGGAUAAUGGUUGCAUUUAUAGAAUAUCCAUGGGCUUCUAGUCACCGUGGUUGUUGAUUCAGCAUGUCAUAUUACUCUUGGACUAGCUGUUGACACUACUACAUUUUACACUUUGCGCGACGAAGAACAAAACGUCGCGCAAAGUCGCAUUUAGUCGCCCCAAUUUCAGCGCGACAAAAACGUCGUCGCGCAUAUUCCGUCGCGCGAAGAUCGUGAAGAAAGCCUUUGCACGACGAGGUACAACCCUUCGUCGCGCAAAAGUGUGCGACGGGUAAACCAUCGUUGCACCAACGGUGUGGAGACGAAACAACCCUUCGUCGCAAAAAUAUUUGCGCGACGAUAAAUUAUGCGGCGCACGUAUAUUUGCGAGACGACGGGAAUUGCGCGACAAAACAUUAUUCGUCGCGCAAAAUAUGUAUGGGAGACGUAUAUGUUCGUCGCAGAACAAUUCGCGCGAUGAGAAAGUUUUCGUCGCACAUAUAAUUGCGCGACGAAAAAUUAUGUCGUCGGCCAAAUAUUUUGCGCGACGAAACAUUUCGUCGCGCAAAACGUGUUAUGUGUUCGUCGCGCAUGAAUUAAAAGUGAUAAAAAAAUAUUUGAUUUUUUUUUGUUACAUGUUGGUUUGCGCGACGAAAGAUUUUCCGUCGCGCAAAAAUAAUAUUACAAUUUUUUUUUUAUUUAUAUUUUUUAUUUGAUAUAAAAUUGGUUUCUUUUUAUUGAUUAAACAAUGAAAUUGCAAUAAAAAUAAAUUAGAAUAAAAUUUUGUUAUAAAAUAAAAUAAAAUAAAUGUAUUACAAAUAAAAUAAAUACACUAAUCAAAUAAUGAAUCAAAAUCAACCGAGUCGUCGCCAGUAUGCGGCUCGGAGGGCGGGGCGUUCACCGGGGCAGUGGUCUGGUGGGGAUGCCCGGGAUGGACGGGCUCAGAGGUCGGCGCAUCAAAAUGCGGGACUGGAAUGCCGGACUGUGCGAGGGACUGCAGAAUGACCGACAUCUGGCUCUGAAGAGUGGCCACCUGUGCUGUCAAAGCAGUGACCUGACUGUUUGACUGCGCCGAUGAACGAGGUCGAGGUUCCCUCCGCCGGGCAUUCCCCAUCCCUCGACAAUAUGUCCCCGGCCUCCUCCCGAGAGUCUGAUCCAACGUCUCCGUCAAUAUCUGAAAUCCAGCAUCCUGUGGAGGAGCCACAGACUCGAUCGGAGUCUCGGGAGGAAGCUGGGAGGCGGACUCCUGAAGAACAAGCUGGCUCCUCUCCACCAUCGUCGUCUGUUGAACAUAACAUAAAAUAUAAAUUAAAACAUGCAUAUAAAUUGAAUGCGUAACAUAAGAAUUAAAAUUAAAUAAUACUUACAUGAAGGGACUCGGCCAACUCAUUCCCGGGUCGAACAUAAACGUCACCAAAGACGUCGAUCUCUGGGAACUUGGACCCCUCCUAAAUUGAACAAGAGAAGAAAAAUAUUAGUAUGAAAAAAAUAAAUUAAUAAAAAUGACAUUAAAAAUGAAAUAAAAAUUUUGUGAUUAUUACCCGACGCCGUGCAUCCAUCCUAUAAGAAAAGGGUCUGGAGCCGGAAUGGUGGAGAAGGGUCUUCUUCUUCCUAUUACCCUUAUUCACUUGGGCUUUAUUCUGUUAUACAAAAAAUGAAACGUAUUAGUUAAAAUAUAAAAAAUUAAAUAAUAAUGAAAUAAAAAAAUAAAAUAAACAUUAAUAAGUAAUAAGUAAUAAUUAAACAAAUAUAAUUAAAAAAAUACCGCAAAUUCGGGCGCUUGAAAAUGAGCGCAGAGCCACUCCCAACUAUCCUCCCGCCCCUCAAGCUCCUUCGGGCAACCCUCCUGAAGAGCGACUUGCGGAUCAUCAUAGGCCUGAAAAUGGUGGUGCAAGUCGCUCUUCCACUGCUUGUACCUCUCAGCGAAGAGUCGGUUGACGUACGUCAACGACUCUUCGUCGAGAUCCUCCAAGUUAUAGUUCGUCUGCAAUCAAUUAAUUAGAUACGUUAAGUAAUAGAAAUAUACACAAUUUUAAAGAAAAAUAAUGAAAAUGUAAGGUACAUACCGACAACUGGCCGUGAAUCUCCGCCUGGAUCUCGUCAGGCAUGACCCUCCAAGACUUCCAUUGCAUCGGGCAAUGGGUCCGCACGACGUGGCCAAUGUCGUGGGCCAAGGAGCUAUGCAACUUCGCCGUCGGUGCAGCACGAUGGCGCUCGUCGUAUCCGAUGCUGAUACGACUGUUGGUCACCCGGGUGACCUUCGCCGUCUUCAGCUGACGACACGGUCCUCGGGUGUUCCUCUUCGCUGCAAAGAAAUAAGGUAUUAAUGUUAAAUAAAAAAACAUUGUCAAAUUUCAAUAUAAAAUUAACAAUACAAAAGUGUAGUUAUACCUGGCUGUGAUCCCGAGGCACCAGUACCGUCGGUCGAUGUCGUGUCGAUGGUGUCGGUGGGCCGGUGCCGCCGCCUAGCACUAGCUGGUUGCGCCACGGAUGACGCAGAUGACACAGGCGCCUGGGGCGCCCCGGGACCAACCACCACGUGGUCCAACAAAGCAGGAGCAGUGGCAGCAGAUGCCGACUGAGCCAGGGGAUCCGAACUCGGUGCAGUCGUCAUCGACCUACCACGUCUAAUCAAGUCUGACAUCUGCACAUAUAAUUUCAUUCAGAAUGUAAACUAAUUAAUUAAAAGCAUAGCCUGACCUAGGGUUUGGAAUUUCGGAGUAUCCGGGACUCCGAUCAACGAUCGGUCGAAUCCUAAACGAUCCUAGAAACACAAAGGUACAACUACGCGAGUUUCAGUUCGAUCCAACGGUCCGAACAUAUCAAACCUGGAAAUCGCACAAUAGGCGAAAUUCGAUCAAGACUCAAACGGUAACCAAAUUCAAAUCCGAGCAAACCUACGCGCUCGUGACAAACAGGGGAUCGCUCUGGGACACAAUGCCCCACUGCCACAGCAUCCCACGCGCCGGCAGCGCGUGGGUGUCCAAAGCGAUAACAUUCGCCGGAAAAUUCUAAAAACUAACGGCCAAGGUUCCUACCCUAGGUUGAAAACAAUAUUUGGCGCCACUUUUGUUCUCGGACCUACCCCGAAAAAUGGCCGGAAGUGGCCGGAUUUGAAAUUGCCAAACCGGCCAAAACCUAGGGUUUUAAUUCCUAUUUCCUAUACCCAUCAGCUAGAGCACAAAAAAUAGUCGAGAAAUCAUACCUCAGGCGUCGGAAAUGGUGGCCGGAGGAGAGAGAAAACGGCCGGCGAGGAAUCGGUGAAAAACCGACGAUGUGCGACGGCAGGCUCGACGGCGAAGGCAGGGGAGGCUAUGGCAGGAGCGGCGGUGGCUGAGGUGACGGCGGAGAGAGAGGGCUGAGGUGACGGCGGAGAGAGAGGCAAACGGAGGAAAAAACCAGAAAUGGGGAAGAAGGAGGCAUCGCGACGUUUCUGCAAAUUUUUACGACUUUGCGCGACGAAUCACAUCAUUCGUCGCGCAAAAUGCUAUUAAUGAAUCUUGCGCGACGCUAUAUCCGUCGCGCAAGAUCUGUCAGAACGCCAAAUUCUGAAAGUGGAUUAGGGUCUGUAAGUUUUGCGCGACGAAAUAGACAUACUUCGUCGCGCAAAAGGCUGUCUUUCCGCCAAAAUUUUGGGAUUUAGGGUUUAGCGGGAGGCUGAAACUGAAGGGUUUGCGCUUUUGCGCGACGAAGACGGUAAACGUCGCGCAAUGGUAACCUUGCGCGACGGAACGUAUUAUAUUCGUCGCGCAAAAGGCUAUCUUUCCGCCCAAAUUUUGGGAUUCAGGGUUUAGCGGGAGGCUGAAGGGUUUGCGCUUUUGCGCGACGAAGACACUAAACGUCGCACAAAAGGCUGUCUGCUGAAAUGAAUGGUUUCUGCUUUUGCGCGACGAAGACAAUAAACGUCGCGCAAAACGUUGUCGUUCCGCCAACAAUUUGGGGUUUAGGGUUUAGUGUGAAAACUGGCGCCCAGAUUGCGCGACGAAGAGUACAUAUUUCCUUCGCGCAAUCUAUUUCACUUUCACUUUGCGCGACGGAUAUGUUGGUUCGUCGCGCAAUCUUCAAGAUUUUCAUUGAAAUUUUCACUAAGUGUUCAAAGGGGAUGGAGGUGUGAAAACUGGCGCCCAGAUUGCGCGACGAAGAGUACAUAUUUCCGUCGCACAAUCUAAUUCACUUUCACUUUGCGCGACGGUUAAAUUGUUCGUCGCGCAAAAUGUAGACCCUAAACCCCCUUGUAAACCCUAAACCCUGAACCCUAAGCCAUAAACCCUAAACCCUAAAAUAGUUUCAAUGAUCCAACCGGCAAACUUAUUGUUUGAAACUUGGAGAUCAUAUACGCCAAAAAUCAAGAAGACCAAACAUUCAGAUAUCAGGGAACGGGACUAAAUAUUUCGACGGUUAUAAAUGAAAAGUCAUGAUUUAACGGUUAUUGUAACUCCGAUUUUGAUCAAUUUUGACAGCAGCAUUUGUUGACCCUAUAUGAAUACAAUGACUGAAUUUGAUCUUCAAUUUCAGAUUUUUACACUAGGGGAUACCACAUAAACGUGAAGUUACAUUUGCACAAAUGUAUAAACAAAUUUUAGGGUUUUUGGUGAAUAUAUGAUUUUGAUAGCACAUGCAGUCUACGAAACAAGUUUCAGUCAUCCAGCCGUCAAACUUGUUUUUUUAGACUUCGAGAUCAUAGACAGCAAAAAUCGGACAAAAAAAACAUUCAGAGAUUAAGCAACGGGGUAAAACUUUUCGACGGUUCUAAAUAAAAAGUGAUGAUUGAACGGUUAAUUUAACUCCGAUGUUGAUGAUUUUUUGCAGCUACAGUCCUACACUCCAUAUGAAUACAAUGAACUACUUCGAUCGCCAAUUUUAAAUAUAUAUGUGUGUAUAUAUUAUACUAUAACGUUACCUAAUAUAUAUUUGCGCGACGAAAGUUUGCUUAUCGUCGCGCAAAAAUGCCAUACGCGACGCAUGUAUAUAUGCGUCGCGGAAACUAUGCGCGACCAGUUGUAUUCGUUGCGCAAACAUUACGCGACGCUUAUGUAUGCGUCGCGUAUGGUAUGUUUGCGCGACGAUAUGGAGCCCUUCGUCGCGCAUGGAUUUGGCGCCAUAAAUCCUCAUUGAUUUCAAAUUGUGUAUGCUUUGUAUUUUUUAGAAAGGUUUUGUAUUCAUCAUUUUUUAUGCUUUGUAUUUUGUGGAAAGGCUUUGAAAUAUUCAUUUCUUUUGUUAUUUUUAUUGAAGCUUUAACUUGUUCUGUUCCGCAGAAAAUUCCAAUGAAGUUUGUGAUGAAAUAUGGAGAAUGAAUACACAACUACAUAUGGACAACUACACAUAUUCAAAGAUUUGUAUUACACAAAAUUAAUACACUAACAUAAUAAAUUUACAAAUAAAUUCAUUAUUCAUCAUCUGAACUAUAAUAACUUUCGUUAUCGUCGCUAGCUUUAACUUGUUCUGUUCCGCAGAAAAUUCCAAUGAAGUUUGUGAUGAAAUCUGGAGAAUGAAUACACAACUACAUAUAGACAACUACACAUAUUCAAAGAUUUGUAUUACACAAAAUUAAUACACUACAUAAUAAAUUACAAAUAAAUUCAUUAUUCAUCAUCUGAACUAUAAUAACUUUCGUAUCGUCGCUAUCAUCACUCUCGGUCUCCCAAUCUUCUUCCUCCUCCUCCUCUAUAACUGCAUCAUCGGCGUUGCUAGGGCCCACUGCAACAUCGUAUCGGGGAAGAUCACCGAGGUCAAUUGUAAUUGACUGAAUCGGUAUUUCGACUGAAGACACUCCUUCUAUUUGAAACGGUUCUUGUAUAACAUUUGUAUCUCGAAGUGUUUCCGCAUCAUUUUCCAUUGAAGAUUCUAAACGAUGGUCAGCCACAUUGUCGACGUCGUUGUCACUUGGGUCUAGUUCUGGUAUAUUAUACACGUUCCUAUGAUCCAUCUUCUGCACAACUUUCCACCCGUUCCCGGCUUUAGGGUCAUCUAGAUACACAAUUUGGGACGCCAUGUUUGCCAAAAUGUACGGGUCGUCAUCAUACCAAGUUCUGUUAAUAUUCACAGACAGUACUCCAUGGUCGAUUUUAACACUUCCCGCCCUAUUUGGGUUGGUAUCGAACCAUCGACACUUAAACAUGAUGACUUGGUAUCGAUCUUUGUAAAGCAAUUGCACGACAGUUGUCAGUUUGCCAUAGAAAUCAAUGUCUGUACUUUCGCCUCCACCUGGGACAUGAACACCGCUAUUUUGCGUACACAACUUGUCAUCUCGUGCGGCCCCUAAAAAUUUGACGCCGUUAACAUUACAACCCGAGAACAAUUCAGCGCGAAUUGGGCCGAACGCCAAGUUAUAUAACUCAUCACUGUAAGUGGGGGAAUUCGAUGAUUUCAAUUUAUUCACCUAAUAGUAUACAAAACCAUUUACAUGUUAGUCUGACAAAAUUAAAUACUAAAAUUUAUAUUUGUCAAUUACAAAACACUUAUAACUUACAGAAUCCAAAAACCAUUGUGGAAAUAAUUCACGGUGUUUCCGGGCAACCAAAUGUGAUGGAUGUUCUCGCUUCAUCAUCUGUUCAUGCUCAUCUAAGUAGGCCAUUAUCUCAUCACAAUUGUUCAGUACGAACCAAUGCGCUACCUCCAUGUCAUUUCUAGAAAACGACUCUCCUCGUCCAGGAUCUCCAAAUGGUCGUGCGCUUUGGGCAAAAACAGAAAGUUUUUCAUUUCUCAUACCUCCGUCAUUAUUGCGGUGAGGACGAUUGAAAACCGUCUCCACAUCUUUUAAAUACAUUCCACAGAAAGUAAGCGACUCAUAUUGAACCCAAGCCUCUAUAAUUGAUCCUUCGGGCUUUGCCCUGUUGCGUACACUUUUUUUCAGCUCUCCGAGAAGCCUGCCAAAAUAAAACGAUAUGAUACAAAUUAGCAAAGUGUCGAUAAUGAUGCAUACACAAAUGAUAAAGAUUAUAUACCUUUCUAUUGGAUACAUCCAGCGAUAGUUGACAGGACCAGCAAGCAAUGCCUCUUCUGGCAAGUGAACCAUCACGUGCAUCAUACUUAUAAAGAAAGCUGGAGGAAAUAUCAUCUCAAACUUGCAUAGGACUUGGACAAUGUCAUGGCGCAACUGAAACAUGUCUGUCCUUCGCAAUGUUUUUGCCGUCAGUUGGGAAAAAAAUCUGGAUAACAACAUGAUUGGCUUCACCACAUCUUCCGGCAGUAAGUGUCGAAUACCCACAGGAAGUAGGCGUUGCAUGAACACAUGGCAGUCAUGGCUCUUAAGUCCAGUAAAUUUACCCCCAUCGACAUUCACGCAACGUGCGAUAUUAGAAGCAUACCCAUCGGGAAAUUUGACAGACGAUACAAACUUUAGAAACUCCUUUUUGUCAUUCGGUUUCAUAGAAAAGAAUGCAAGAUCCCUUCUAGCUUUAUCACUGUCCCUAUUCAUCCAUAAACCCCUUCGUAUGCCCAUUCUUUCCAAAUCAAGACGAGCUUUGAUCGUGUCCUUCGUCUUCCCCUCGAUAUCUAGAAUCGUGCCCACCAAUGUGUCGAAAACAUUUUUCUCAACAUGCAUCACAUCUAGAUUGUGCCUCAAUUUCAGUUUCGACCAAUAUGGGCGCUCAAAAAACAUAGACUUGUGCGUCCAGUUCAAAUGUGUAGAAGGUCGGGUCCGACUAACUGUUUUCCCGAACGGAGCAAAAUCCAAACGGUUCAGCUGUUCCAAGAUCUCAUCACCGGACCAUUCUCUAGGUCUGAGGCGACGCUCUGUGUUCCCGUCGAACUCUUUAUCUUUUUCUCGCCACUCGUGGUCCCAUGGCAACCAUCUCCGAUGACCAAGGUAACAAACUUUUCCCGCGUGCCAACCAGAAGUUACAUCUUCCUUGCAUACAGGACAUGCCAUAUAACCCUUUGUGCUCCACCCAGAAACCAUUGCAUAUGCUGGAAAAUCAUUCACAGUCCACAUAACUGCUGCUCGCAAAGUGAACAUCCUCCCAGUUGAUUUAUCGUACGUGCGAACACCGUUUGUCCAUAAAUCCUUCAGCUCAUCAACCAGAGGCCUUAAGUACACAUCAAUUGACCUGCCAGGAUCCUCAGUUAUCAAAACAGUCAUCAUCAUGUAUUCUUUUUUCAUGCAUUUCCAAGGCGGCAAAUUAUAUGGGAAUGCGAAAAUCGGCCAAGUGCUGUGGUGUUGGUUUAGAACCCCAUACGGAUUGAAUCCGUCAGUGGCAAGUCCCAAUCUAACAUUUCGGGGAUCAGCAGCAAAUUCGGGGAACGUUCGAUCGAACUCUUUCCAUGCCUCCCCAUCUGCAGGAUGCCGCAUCACAUCAUCGUCUACCCGUUUUUCCUUAUGCCAUCUCAUGUCUGUGGCAGUAUGCGUUGACAUAUACAAUCGCUGCAACCUAGGUUUAAGGGGCAGAUAACGCAUGACUUUUUGUGGUAUCUUAGUCGUUCUAUUCUGGGAUGUCAGUUUGAACCUCGACUCAUUGCAUAUAGGGCAUGUAUCCAACGUUUCAUGCUCUUUGUAGAAUAACAUGCAAUUGUUUUUGCAAGCGUGGAUUUUUUCAUAACCCAAUCCAAGACCGUGCAACACCUUCUGUGCAUGUUUAUGGUCUUUCGGCAAACAAUUGUCCGUCGGAAGCAUUCUCUUGAAAACCCCCAAAAAGUAAUCAAAACACAAGUUCGACAUACGAUACUUUAUUUUUCCGUGCAUUAGCUCCACAAUGGCAGUGAGAACGGAAAACCUCUCGCACCCCGGGUAUAACUCUUGGUUGGCAUUUUUUAACAGUUUUUCAUACUGUUCAAACUCCGCACUGUCUAUUGGUGUAGGCACGUCAUCUUCCCCUUCCUGAUUGAUGUUGGUCGAUGCGAAUGGAAAAGCAUCCUGUAUAAUACCCAUGACUUGAUCAUUAGGAUCCACAAUAGGUUCAACAUUGUCCACUCUCGGGGCAUUUGAAGACGAAGCAUGGUCUACUUGUUCGCCGUGAAGGUUCCAAAUGCUAUAUGUUUCAAUCAUUCCAUUCCUUACUAAAUGAAAUCCAACAUUUUCAAUUGUCUCCCACAACGUGUUGUUACACCUCCUACAAGGACAACGGAUUCUAGUUGCACCCGGGUUGUGUCUACGUGCAAACUCAAUAAAAUCCUCGAUUCCAUCCAAGUAUUCGUCUGCGCAUCUAUUCGGGUUCUGUAUCCACCUUCUGCUCAUAAUUCCUGAAACCACAAUCACGACACAACAAUCACAACAACUUCAUACGAAGUUAUAAUGUCACCUUAUGCCUCCGGUAAGGGCCCUAUCCCAUUCGGGAAUGCAUAGUCCUGUCACGUAACCUACGGCUACAUGAGAUUAGAUUUCGACGUGGAUUAAUUUCAGCAGCAUCUCGACACAGUUCUUGAAGUGGGCAUAGGUAUAAAUACCUACGUACCACCCGAAGAACGUACCGAGAUGACACCGAAAUCUCCACAAUCGAAACCUAAUCCUGUAGCCGAAGAUUAUGUGACAACACUAUGCAUUACCAAACUGUCCAAAUAAUGGGACAAUUCAAGAAUUAAUUGGACCGCAGUCAUGCAUUACGCAUCCAUGCACGAAAUUCAACUAAUCUCGAACGGGAAACUACGUGUUACUAAACAUAAAAAUAAAAGUACGAAGUUAAUUUCAAUUAACUUCGUACAUCACAACACAUUGUGCUAUGUCACGCACAAUUUCACAACAUUAUACACAUAUAACUUCACAAAAAAAUUACAAACAUAACAAACAAACUUUUACAAUAACAUACCUUCUCAAUCGUUCUCCACCAAUCACAAAUAUCCCUAACGAUAACAAAAUUAAUAGCGUUACUACGAAUUUACAUUAAUACAUUUAAACUAACGACAAAAAAUACAUACCCAAUGAACGUACUGAAUUCACAGUAGAGCAACGGCAGAGAGAGUGAGAGAGAGGUAGAAUGCAGUGGGAGAGUGAGAGAGAGGCAGAAUGCAGAAACUGCAUUCUGCCUCUGCAAUGGAACUGGCUAAAAUGAAGAAGAAGGACUUUGCGCGACUAACAAUCCAAUCCGUCGCGCAAAAUGCCGUCGCGAAAACCCACUUUUCCGUCGCACAAAAAAACAUUUCCGUCGCGCAAUUACCUGCCGACAUCAGGUUUUUUGCGCGACGAAUACAAUUAUCCGUCGCACAAACAUCCGUCGCGCAAAUAACAUUAUUCGUCGCGCAAGGUUUAUAUUACGUCGCGCAAAUAACACUUAUUUCGUCGCGCAAGAAAUUACACUUUACGCGACGAAGGUAAUUCCGUCGCGCAAAAAAGUUUUUUCCACCCUGCAUUUUGCCGCCAAAAUUAAGUAACCCUCGUUUUCUUACGCGACGGUACAUAUUUCCGUCGCGCUAAGGCGUCUUUUGCGACGAAAAUGUUCGUCGCGCAAGAUUCUGGCGCCAAAAACAUAAACUGGGGAUUUUUCCCCGACCUUUGCUCGACGAAAUUAGUUUUGGUCGCGCAUAGAUUGUUUGCGCAACGAAGAUUGUUCGUCGCGCUAGUGUUCUGCUGUUUGCGCUACGGUAUUUUUUUUUCGUCGCAAUAGUGAUUUUUGCGCGACGAAAAUAUAUUCGUCGCGCAAACGUCCGUCGCGCAAAUAGUAAAUCGUAGUAGUGUGAUUUGGUUUAGACUUGGUUUAAUUAUCAUUGUUGUGGUUGGUUCACCAAAAAGAUUUGGCUUAGAAUUACCAGUUUUGUUGUUGGUUUAGUUAUGCUUGGCAUUUGAGGAUCCUAUGCUUACUUGUAUGGGUAAUACAUUUUAUUGAUCGUUUCAUAUACUAAUUAUGAACUUUUAGUUCCAUUGUGCAUUUAAGAGUACACAUAUUUCAUAUGUAAUUCGAAAGUUUGUCGCUGAAAUUUCUGAGAAUUUGAAACUAGAUAAGCACACCUUGCACAAAGUUCAUAUAUUUUCUUCCAGCAAGUCUGUCUAUUAACCCCCCUUAUCUGAAAUUAAUUGUUAAAAGUUCUGAUUCAUCUUUAAUCAUUGUCUUACCCUUGUUGAAUAACACUCCUCAUUCUAAUUUAUAUUCGAAGUUUGAGGUUUCAAUUUCAAUUGUGGGCUUUGAUUUUACAGAUUUUGUUUGUCAAUUUCAAUUUGGACAAAGCAUAUGCAAACAAAGUAAGGCAUUAUCUAUUAUUUGGAUCAUUUCCAUAUGUUUAUAUGUUUUUAAUAUCAUUUGCCUAUGUAGUUGACAUGUUAUAACAUUUUCGUAGUGUUGAAUAUAUAUAUAUAAUAAUUUUAUUUUAGUGGAUGUGAGAUCUCAGUUUGUUGCUUUAUAUAAUUAUUUCUUUGCAAUUUAAUUUUUUUUAUCAGUCAUACUAUUGUUGACGGCUAAAAACCAUCAAGAAACAACUCUUAAGUUUUUUAAAAAAUAAAUAAAUAAAUAAAGAUUUGUUGAUGCUUAAAAAGCAUCAAGAAAAGAUAGUUUCUUGACGGUUUUGUGACGUUUCAUAACCGUCAUGAAACAUUACAUUUUGACGAACGUCUUUCUGAUAGUGGCAUCCGUGACGCUUUCCGAGCCAUCAAUUAAGGGCUAUCGUGAUGCUUUUUAGUUGUCAGCAAAAGGUGUUUUUCUUGUACUGUAUUCACUCAAAAUCGUUUUUCAUUUAGGGUUGCUAGUGUGGUUGAAUGCCAUUUGUUUUGUUAAUGAAUAUUAUACAUUAUGGAUUUUUGUAGAAAUGUCGCUUGAAAUUAUACCUCAGUUUCAAUUUGUCACCUUAAAGAAAAAUUUAAGAGAAAUGUCACCUUAAUUUUUCAAAAUCCACGAUUUGUCAUCUCACUUUAACAUCAUCCAAUUUUCCAUCUAUUUUAAGGGUAUUUUAGUCUUUUCAUUUUCAAGGGAAAAAAAGAGAGGAAGAAAAAGACCUCUCUCUUACUUUCUCCCCCAACCCAACCCCACCCGCCCCCCAAAACACAUCGCAUAGGACCGCCUCCCCCUUCCCCACAUUUCUUUUUUCUUUUUGGCCUACUUUUCCACUAUGUUUAUGUUGAAGGAUCUAAAGUUUUCUUGGUCACCAUCUAUUACGUAGGCUACCGACUUGUUGGUUUGGGUGGGUUGAGGGAAUUUGUGUGUGGAGGGCAGGUGUUCAUGUUGUGUGCACCAAGACCUUAUCGUUGAUGAACUAUGUGACGGCACACACACAAACUCGUUGAGAAUAAAACAAACAUACCACCAAGAGAGUAAAACAAACACACAAGGACACAAAGAUUUAUAGAGGUUCGGCCUCCUGCCUACGUCUUUUUGGUGAUUCACUCGAGAAAUUCACUAGUAUGUAAAAAUAACUUUGGUUACAACUGAACCCCCUUAGCCCUCACAAGAACCUUAGAUCUCUUUUCUCUCACCCUUGCUCAAACCCUUUGAUGCCCUUGUAGACACUCAAGAAUUCACCCUUGAAUUCUAUCUUGUGUUACAUCUUCUCUUCUCCCUUUUGUUAACCUAACCCUAAAAGUCCUAUUUAUAAUGCAUAGGACUUAAGUUACAAGUUAACUUGGAAUAGGAAACAUAAAAUACCCCAAAAAUUGGAGAAAAUCUGUCCAAAUCUAGCCUGCAAAAUCAUCCUUCUGCCGCUCGAGCUGCCGGUGGCGCUCAUGGGAUGGGGGAAUUGGAGAUUUUCUUUUCAAUUUUAAUUGUUUAAAAGAUAUACAAUUUUUUAUUAUAAUAAUUUUUCCAUUUUUAAAAUACACUUGAAAAUAGAAAGCUUAAAAUGCCCUUAAAAAUAGAUGGAAAAUUGGAUGGUGUUAAAGUCAGAUGACAAAUCAUGGAUUUUGAAAAAUUAAGGUGACAUUUCUCUGAAAUUUUUCUUUUAAAAGUGACAAAUUGAAACUGAGGUAUAAGUUCAGGCGACAUUUCUACAAAAAUCCCUAUACAUUACAAUAUUAUAACAAUAAAAUUGGCUAAAAUUGAUAUGUUCCCUCUUUUCUUUUCUUUUUCUCUUUUCCUUUUCAUUUUAUGCUUUGUUGCUAUUGCUAUGUUUAUCCUACAAAUAUAGCAACUUCUCCACCAUUCAUUUGUUAGUGACUACGAUGCUUAGUAACUUCUUCAGCUCCCCUUAUUUCCAUGUACUAACCAGGGACACCAGGUCAGCAUCUUCGGUAAGAAUCCUAACUCAAUCAAACAAUGACAUCUGUAAAUAUUCAAAAUUGGAAUUUGCAUUGUGAUAGUUGAAAGCAUCCUUGUCCCAAAAAAAGCCAAAAAAUAAAAUAAAAUUGAGAGCAUUAAGUCCUUUUCAAAUUAUGCUAAUAUGCAAAAUUGGAAUUUUGAUGGAGUUGCUUCCUUGACUUUUCCACCUUUGUAUCCAGUCCACUUUGCACAAGGAGCCAAGUUUGAGAGAUAGUUUUCUGUAUUUACACCAUCCAGGAGAAAAUUAAAAAACUAUUUCAUGCCAAACUAACUACGGAUUCUUGCAAAGGACCCAUUAGUGUAGUGGUUUGGAGUAUUUACUCCCUCAGGCAAGGUCUUGGGUUCGAGUCCUAGCAUUCAUGUUGUGUGUGUGAGUUUAAUAUGCUAUCACCCCUUCCAAUAGGAAAGGACCUCAAAAAAAAAAAAAAAACUACAGAUUCUUUAAUUGAAAGAAACCCCAUAUUAAUCAUCCUUUGGCACAUAAAUGUUUGGUAAUUGGCAUUAAAGUAUCUAAAGGUUACGAAAUUAAAGAUUUUAAUGCAAACCUAAAAUUGGAAAAGAGGGCACCAAUUCAUGUAAAAUAUGGUGUACUUAGUAGAUCCAACAUAUUUUUUUAGCAACCAAGGACAAUCAUCAUUUUUUUUUUUAAGAACCAAGGAUAGCUUACAUUCUAGUUUGUCCAUCAUGUCAACACAUUUAUAAUUAAAACUUCUUUUUUGGUGAGGUUUCAAUUUUUGUCACUGUAACAAGACCACAAUUGCCAUUCAGUAUGCUAACAUUGUCACUAUGUUUGCCAAUUGCAUAUUAUCUAGAACAUAAAGGCUUUGGUGUUUUGUAUAUCCUCGGGGUGCCAAACCUGUCUUUAUAAAAAUGGUCCUUAUGAUACUACUUUAACAACAAAAAAAUAUAAUAAACUAGGCCUUUGUAGUCACUGAACGAAUGUUUUCUCAUAGAUAUGACUAUUUAAAUGUAAUUACGGGAUUAAAACAUUAUAAUAAAUUGGAGUGAACCAUAACAUUAUAUAUGAUCCAAUCCUUUUCAUAUAUUUUUGUUCAAGACUUUGUUUUAGAAUGCUCUUUUACUAAUUUGGUACAGGUCCCUAAAAUCUACGCCUUUAUGAGGCAACGUCUUUAUUUCUUUGGUUAUUCCAGUUUAGAAUAUAUUUGUACAAAUGAGAUGACUCCCAACAUAAAGUCACAUUCAACCAAAAAGCAUGAAGUCACACACAAAAAGAACACGGACAAUUGCUAAGUUUAUCUUGUAUCCUUAUUUUAUUGAUCCAACCCAAUUGAAAAAUAAAAAAGAUGAUAUAAUAUAUUGUUCACUGCUUACAUCCAUGAGUAAAGUCCUCCAUUUGAAAUUGCGUGAUUAUACAAAAUUGGAAUGAAAAAAGAAAAUCCUACAACUAAAUUUGAUAUAUUCCUUUUCAUUUUAUGUUGGAUGUUAAGUUUUCUUGUUUCUUGUUGAAAAGAAAAAUGAAAAGAAAUAAAUAAAUUACACAGCUAGCAACUUCUCCACCUUCCCUUCUUCCCAUGUACUGACAACAAGGGAGGCCUUCAAUCCAAAAUAAAGACAAGGGAUGCCAGGUCAGCAUCUCAGAUAAGUAUCCCAACCAAAACCAAUCAAAUAAUGACAUAUGUAUCUCUUUUUGUGUUUUGUUCUAUUUCUCUUUGAAUUAACUGCGAAGUUUCAUAAGCGUGUCCUCCUUUUGAAAUUGUGUAUUAUUCAAAAUUGGAAUUUGCUGGUCAUACUUGAUAUAAGCUAAAACAGUUUCCAACAUCUUGUACCAUUUUUUUCCAGUGUGGGUCAUAACUUGAAGAAGCCCACCGACAAUUUCUCAAAAGCUAUUACCAUCCAACUUUGAAAAAUAAAAGUUUCAAAAGUUACCCCAAACAACAGCCCUUGAAAGAGAGUUUUCCAAGGCUAAAGAUUACAAGGAUGUUAUUGGCACAUGCAUUAACGUGUGACAAGAAGUUAGUUAUAUUUAUAAAGUAAAAGAACGAAGUACAUAACAUGUAAGUUGAUGCCAAAUAUUUGAUCAACAGAGCUAAACAUAAAACCACGACAAUAUAACGUUGUUCACCAAAAAUUGUGUUUCGUUGAGGGUCAGUAGUGUAGGUUUCAAGAUACGAUUUAUUUUGUUAAAGAAUAUUCUGAUAUUCUAACAAUAAAAUUGGCUCAAUUUGAUAUGUUUCUUUUUUUUUUUGUUUUUGUUUUCCCUUUCAUUUUAUGCUUUGUUGUGCUAUUGCUAAGUUUAUCCUAGAGACCAGGGAUGCUUAGCAAGUUUCUUCACCUGCCCUUCUUCCCAUGUACUAACUAGGGAUACCAUGUCAGAAUCUUAGAUAAGAAUCCCAACCCAAUCAAACUAUGACAUCUGUAAGUAUUCAAAAUUGGAAUUUGCAUUGUGAUAGUUGAGUGGAAGAAUCGAUUAAGGCUUGAGUGGAAGACAAACUUCAGUGGAGGAAAGUAAUUAAUCUCACAAGACAUAGCCCAUCAGUUGGCUCAUUUUUCUUGAGUGUGUAGUCCUGGCCUUGAGGCGAGGCCACAUUGCUUUGGAGAUUUCUUUCUACUUGGUGAAAUUAUAAUUUAGAAGAAGCAAACUGCGUUUUGCAAUUUGUGCGAUUCAAGCAUAUCUGACACUAGUAAUUAGACCAUAAUCUUUGUCCGACCAGAAAAUAAGAAAAGUUGUCUUGUACCAUUUCUGCCAGUGUGGGUCCCACCCACCCCAUACGAGUAAUUUGAAGAAGUCCACCGACAAUUUCCCAAAAGCUUUGGCGUCCAACUUUGCCGACCCCAUCCCCAUGUGAGGCCAUAGAAAAGUUUUCAGCCACAAUCAAAGAAGGGAACAGUCCUUGAAAAGAGAGGGUUUUCCAAGGCCAAGAUUACAAGUUCAUGUUAUUUACAGUCUCAAAAAGCUUCCAUACUUGUUUACAAACCUGUAUUUUCAAGUUGUGCUAGCCUAGCUAUUUGCAAAUCUUGGAAUAUUUUACUUCAUCCAAAUCCCUUGCAGUCUGCAGAGAAGAUAAAAGACAUGGCUUUGAUUGGAGAGGCUCUUAUCUCUGCUUCCGUCCAGGUGUUGUGCGACAGAAUUACUUCACCCGAGUUCGUUGACUUAUUUUGGCACAAGAAACUCGAUGAGCCACUCCUCAGGAAGCUGAGGACGACACUGUUGGCCUUGAACUUGGUGCUCAAUGAUGCAGAGGGGAAGCAACUUGUGAACCGAGAUGUGAAAAAGUGGCUUGACGAGCUCAGACAUGCUGUCUUUGAUGCGGAGGACUUACUGGAUGAGAUUGACACUGAAGCUUUGCGAUGCAAGCUGGAAGAAGGUGAAGAUCAAACUCACAAAUUUACCAAUAAGGUGCGGAACUUGCUCUUUUCUCCUCGUAGUCAUUUUUAUCAGAGCAUGAAUGAUAAGAUAAAAGAGUUACUAGCAAGGUUAGAAAACUUUGUACAACUGAAAAGUGCUCUUGGUCUGGGAGAAGUUGCUGGGAGGAAGGUUUCGCAAAGAACUCAAACAACCUCCUUGGUUCUUGAACCUUAUGUAUAUGGUAGAGAUGAAGUCAAAGAAAAGUUAUCAAAAGUGUUGCUAUCUGAUGAAGCAGGCAAGGAUCCUGUGUCUUUCCUCACCAUUGUUGGAAUGGGUGGGGUUGGCAAGACAACCCUUGCUCGAAUGCUUUACAAUGACGAUAAGGUGAAAGGGCAUUUUAAACUUAAAGCUUGGGCUUGUGUUUCAGACUACGAUGAUUAUAUUAAAAUUACUAAAACUCUCCUUGAGGCAGUCACUUCAAAGCCUUGUAACACGGCAAAUCUGAAUUUGCUUCAAAAAGAUCUAAGAGAGCAAUUGAGGGGAAGGAAAUUUUUAUUUGUGUUGACCUAUGGAAUGAGAAUAAUGAGGAUUUGAACUACCUUAGAGCUCUUUUUAUUACUUUAGGAACAAUGGGAAGUAAAGUCAUUGUAACAACACGGAACAAAAAUGCAGCAUCUGUCAUGCAAAAUGUUCAUAUUCAAUACUUAGAACCAUUGUCGUAGGAGGACUGCUGGUUAUUACUUGCAAAACAUGCAUUUGGAAAUGAAAAGUGUAGUGCACAUUCAAACUUGGAAGACAUUGGAAAGCAAAUUGCACUCAAGUGCAAAGGGUUGCCUUUAGCUGCACAAACACUUGGGAGUUUGUUACGUUGCAAUAUGGAUUUCGAGUACUGGAAUAGAAUACUAAAUGAUAGUUUUUGGGACCAACCCUAUGAUAAAACUAACAUUCUUCCGGCUCUAGGGUUGAGUUACCAUUAUCUUCCUACUCAGUUGAAACGAUGCUUUGCUUAUUGUUCAAUUUUUCCAAAGGAUUAUGAGUUUGAAAAGGAAGAUAUAGUUCAAUUAUGGAUUGCAGAAGGUAUAAUUCCACAAGCUGAGAAUGGAAAAAGGAUGGAAGCAUUGGCUAGAAUAUACUUUGAUGAGCUGUUAUCACGAUCGUUGUUUCAAAAGUCAAGUAAAUUCAGCUUCAUUAUGCAUGAUCUCAUUAAUGACUUGGCUAUGUUCAUGUCUCAGGGGUUUUGCCUUAGGCUCGAAGAUGGGGUAUCCCGUGAAGUUAAAAGAGCUCGUCAUUUGUCAUAUGCUAGGGGAGAAUUUGAUGCUGCUCCAAGAUUUGAACCAUUAUAUGAGGCUAAAUGUUUGCGGACCUUCCUACCUACCAUUUGUUGUGGGCAAAUCUACUGGAUCAGGCAUAAGAGAACUGAGGCAGUUCCCGCAACUUCGAGGAAAACUAUCAAUUUUGAAGCUACAAAAUGUAGUUGAUGCGAGGGAUGCACUGCACGCCAAUAUGAAGCACAAGAAAGAUCUCAAGGAGUUAGAGCUUUCAUGGGGUGCGGAGGAUGCUGAUGAUUCCCAAAAGGAGAAAGAUGUACUCGACAAGCUCCAGCCUUGCGUGAAUUUGGAGAAAUUAACCAUCAAAUUCUAUGGUGGAACUAAUUUUCCGAAUUGGUUAGGAGACUCGUCUUUUUCUAACAUACAAGUCAUGCAUCUCAGUGACUGUAGUUAUUGUUGGUCGCUCCCACCAGUUGGACCGCUACCGGCACUCAAACAGCUCUGUAUAAGAAGAAUGAAGUUUGUGAAGACGAUUGGCGUUGAAUUCUAUGGCAGAAAUGGAGCUUAUCUGACUCAGCCAUUUCGAUCUCUGGAGAAGCUAGAGUUUAGGGAGAUGCCAGAGUGGGAGGAAUGGGUACCAAGUGGAAGUGCAAGUGGAGGUGAAUAUGGUCCAGACUUUCCUCGUCUCCAGGAGCUGAUUCUAUACGAGUGUCCGAAGCUAAGAGGAAGUUUGCCUUGUGAGUUGCCUUGCUUGAAGAAGCUUACGGUGUAUGGGUGUAAGGUUUUACAUGAUGGAAGGGCCAUUACCGCAACUACCAAUAGUCUUAACUAUAAAUCUCUGGAAGAAUUGAAUAUAAGUGGUGGAUGCCAAACUCUGUUAUCAUUAUUAGAGACAAAGCUCCUGUCCGGACUUGAGAUUCGAAAUGUUGUUGACAUACAGUGCUUGCCCAACUGCAGUCGUCUUCAACAUUUGACUCUUUCGAAUUGUCCAACGCUGUCAUCAUUUCCCAAAGAUGGCCUACCCACUACAUUGACAUCACUUUAUAUAAACAAUUGUAGGAAAUUAGAAUUCCUACCUCAUGAGAUGUUGGCCAAAUUAACAUCGCUUGACUAUUUGUGCAUACAAAAUAGCUGUGAUUCAAUGAGGUCCUUCCCGUUGGGCAUUUUUCCCAAAUUGACGAGGCUUGAAAUUCGUGGUUGUGAGAAUCUGGAAUCCCUUUCCUUGAUUGAAGAAGAAGGAGCUGUUGAGAAUCUCAGCCAUCUCAAUUACUUGCAAGUCUAUAACUGUCCAAAAAUGGUGUGUUUUCACGAGGGAGAAUUGCCCACUCCCAACCUGAGUCACUUUGUAGUCGGUGGUUGCGAGAAUUUGAAGUCAUUGCCCAAAAGCCUUCACACCCUCACUGCCCUUCGAUCUUUGUCGAUAUGUAAUCUUCCGAAUCUGGAGUCAUUUGCAGAAGAUGGGGGUUUGCCUCCCAACCUCCGACAAGUAAGUAUUAGGAAUUGUGAGAGACUGAGGGCUUCAUCAGUGGGUUUGCAAGCACUUGACUCCCUUGAGAUCAGUGGAAGUGACCAUGUAUUCUCUAUCACACUCUUCACAUCUAUUCUCUAUCAACUCUGAAAUCUUUGGACGGAAAGGGUCUUGGACACCUCACUUCUCUUCAAGAGCUAGAUAUUAACAGGUGUCCAAGUCUGGAAUUCCUGCCAGGAGAGGAACUUCAACACCUCACUUCUCUUCAAAAUCUAUACAUUUGGAACUGUCCCAGUCUUCAAUGCUUGCCAGAAGAGGGUUUUCCAUCAUCUCUUUCUCAUCUGAGUAUCCGCCGGUGUCCUACCCUGGAGGAAAGGUAUAAGAAUAAAACGGGACGAGAUUGGGCCAAGAUAUCUCACAUUCCUUGCAUCGAGAUAGGCAACGAAGUGAUCAUAUAAUAUGAGCUAUUCCAUAUUUCACGCUCAACCCUCAACUCUCAAAUCAAAGUCAGGUGAGGUAUGUGCCUUCUCUUACUUUAAAAAACUGCUGCUCAAUAACACUCUUCGCACUCUAUAUAUUAUGGCCUGUCAGUCUAAAAUUCCUGCCAGGAGAGGAACUUGAACGCCUCUCUUCACUGCAAAGGCUACAUAUUUGUGGGUGUGACAAUAUCCAAUUCCUGCCAGAAGAGCGUUUGCUGCAAUCUCUUUCUUAUCUGUGCAUCGACCAUUGUUUUGCCAUGUAGAAAAGGUAUCUCACAUUCCUUGCGUCAAGAUAGGUGAAGAAGUGAUCAUAAGAUAUGAGCUCUCUCUCCCUCUCGCUCACAUACAAAGUACUUAAAACACUCAAUCUGAUUUCUAUUAUUAUUUUGCUCAGUAAAUUUUGUUUAAAUUUGCUUUGUUUCUCAUUGCGCUUGUUCUGCUUAUCACAACUUAUAUCCUAUUUAAAUCUCAAAUGCUGAAUAGUUAGCAGUCUUUUCGCAGGACAGCAUAUCUUCUCUUGGAGAGCUAUUCAUUUGCAAGGUUUCUUUAUGUGUCAUUUCCAGAGGAGGGUUUACUAUUUAAUAGAAAGGUUCACCUGGAAUAUCUCAAAUGACACAUUCCCAAAUACAGGCAUUGAAUGCACAACAUUUUGAGGUACUAUUUUUGUAAUAAAAAUGUACUUGAGUCUCAUUUGAGCUAGUUUAAAUUGUAUUCAAUGUCUAUGGAUAACCUGUGAGCUUAAGUUGUAAGAUAAAACUCACAGUAUAUUAUUAGGGUUUAGGGUUCAACAGGUGAGCUUAAGUUGUACUUUCCUAGGUACUGCAUGUAUAUUAUCUUAGUAUCAACACUUGGUCUUAUGUGGACGAGAGAGAACAUUUGAGGAAUUACAAAAUCUUCUUAGUGAAUUAAGCUUGUUUCAGCUCUGUUUGUCAUCCCUCACAUUUUCUUUGUUAAGCCUUGAUUUUUUAUUAGACAUACGAAAAAAUGCUUUUAUAAGACAGGAGAUGAAUGCUUUUAUAUGUUGAUGUCGUAGUCAGUCUUCAACCACACUCUGUUUUUAGAAUUCAUUUAUGUUACUAGUUGAGAGCUGCUGUAUUUUAUAUUUCGUUCCUGUAAUGUUUGGAUGUUUAGCUUGAGCAGUCUAGCUUAUCCAGUAGAUAACUUGUCCCCUGUUUUGUAAUGUUUUUGUUUCCUCUAAUGAAAGCAGGUUUUACUUAUCUUGAACUGCAGAAGCCUACUUUUUGACAUAGGUGGCAUGGCACAAACUCGCAUCCGCAUUUCCAUCCCCAUUGGCAUGCUGUCUCAUCUUUUCUAUUCUGUUACCAGCUUGAAGCUUGUGUGGACAUGUUAUGCUCUUGUAAUUCUGAUCACAAACAUCACUUGACAAAUGGAAAGUCACAAUCAGAUCUUUCAGGUGAUCUGGAGGUUUACUUUCUAACAUUUGUUUUCGUGGGGGGGAGACAACAAUACAGAAUUUAAAAUUUCUGAUAAUCAAUAGUAGUUUGCAUAUAUCAGCUGGGACCUGUAUGACUGUAUUAUGUAAUUAAUUAUUUCUCUUAUUGUUUGGGUACUGUUAAAAGGAGUUAGCCACACAACAUAAAAAAGGAGGUCUCUUAUUUCAUACAAUUUUUCAAAUGUGAUCAUUAAUCCGUUUCUUUUUCAACAAUAGAGGAAUGUAUACUAAUCGUCUGGUCCAUCUGCUGCUUCACUCCCUAGUAGCUUCAUCUCCUGUCCUUUGCUUUAUUUCUGUUGAUGAAUGUUUUGUCUGGGUUAUUUAUUUUCAUUUCAUGUCCAUUGCUUUAUUUCUGUUUGGAUUCUUAAUUAAAUCUGUCCUGGACUUGAACAAGGGUUAGGUUAGCUGUAUAAUUUGCGGUUUUAUAUACACAACUGUCUACAUUGAUUAAAACCAGCAUUAUUCUAAGGUUCAUUUAGAAUGUAUUAUCACCAAAAUUAUAAAGAAUACUUCUAUUACAAUUAAUUUGUUGAUUCUAAUUUGGACUUGUAGGAACAGACCAAACAUGUUCAUGCGUGGCAUUGCUCAAGUCAUCAUCAUUCGAGACAGAGAAUAAGCCUUCAAGUGUCUGCUGAGUCAAUGAACCUUUCUAGAUAUCUCAAGUGUAAUGGAAAUUGAUGAGUUACAAAGGAUUUGUAAACAUUUUCUACUGGAGGCUAGAAAUGCUUCAAAUAAAUGACCGUGUUGCAAUUAUUUUGUAGGAUCAAAGACUCUGCAAAGAGGUAAGAAAGUCAUCAUCAAGUAACUUUGCUCUUCAAACUUUUUAUUUUUAUUUUUAAAUAUCAGUAAUAACUGGGAAAGCUUGCAUCUCCUUAAAUUGCUCAUUCUUACAUCUUUUAUAGUUUGUUGAUCUUGGGCAAGUGGAGAGAGAGGCGUCAAGUGAUACGCAACAACCAUUUUCUGUGAGCUGAUUUGAUAAAGAGAAAUGGUAUGCUUUCUUGUCUUAAGCGGUGUGUUCUGCAAUUAUUUGAAACAAAGGAUGCCGCACUUCAAGUUCGAGAAAAUCAGGUAUUUUAGUAUUUUAUUCUUGAGAAAUUUGAUUUAUGUAGAAACUUGAACAUGUAAAUAAAAUAAAUAAAAUAUAUUAUAUGCUGUUAAUGAGUUAAUAUGGUGCUUGCUUCUAGUUGGAAAUUUAUGUAGUCAUCUACCUAUGAUCAAAUAAAGAUGAAGAAUAAAAUAUAAUUGAGAGCAUCUUCCUCUCCCCUGCUUUGCUCAUCCCUUGUUCUUCCACUUCAGCCCCACUAUUACACCAUUUUUUCAGCCACAAUUAUAAUAGCUCCAUGAGCAUUAAGUCCUUUUCAAAUUCUGCUGACAUUCAAAAUUGGAAUUUGCUGGUGAUAUAUGAUAGCAUCUUUGUCCGACCAAAAAGAGAAAAAAAAAAAGUUGAUAGCAUAUUGUACCAUUUUGGCCAGUGUACGCAAUAUUAUUGCAUCCAACUUUGCAUAUUAACAUCAGUGGCCACAGUUCCAUGAUUUGAGUGCACAGAAAAGUUUCAAAAGUUGUCCCACAAAGAACAGUCGUUCAAAGUGAAAGAGAGAUUUCAAAGCUUAAUUACAAGUUCAUGUUAUUUACAAUAUCAAAAAGCUUUCAUACUUGCUUACAAACCUGUAUUUCCAAGUUCUGCAAACCUUGGAAUAUCACUUCAUCCAAAUCCCCUUCCAAAGCAGGAAAAAAUGGCAGCAGCUUUGAUUGGAGAGGCUCUCAUCUCUGCUUCUAUCGUGGUGUUGUGUGACAGAGUUACUUCAGCCGAGUUCAUAGACUUAUUUCAGCAGAAGAAACUUGAUGAAACACUCCUCAUGAACCUGAAGACGACACUGUUGAUUUUGUUUGCGGUGCUCAAUGAUUCAGAGGAGAAGCAAAUUGUGAACCCUGAAGCUUUGCGAUGCAAGCUGGAAGGUGAGGAUCAAACCCACAAUAAUUAACCAAAAAGGAUCUUUUUGAUUGUUUGAAAGGAGGGUCUUGAUGAUUUGAAAGGAGAGGGUUGCUUUAUUUCUGUUGGAUGCUUAAUUAAAUCUUAUUUGGAGUUGAACAAGGAUUAGGUUAGCUGUAUAAUUAGUGGUAAACGCCUUUUUCUAAGGGUCAUUUAGACUCCUAUUACGAUUAAUUUGUUGUUUCUAAUUUGGACUUGUAGGAACAGACCAAAUAUGUUCACACGUGGCAUCGCUCAAGUCAUCAUCAUUUCAGACUGAAAAUCAGCCUUCGAGUGUCUGUUGAGUCAAUAAACCUUUCUAGAUAUAUCAAGUGCAAUGGAAAUUCAUGAGUUACAUAGAGAUUUUUAAACAUUUUGAAGAUUGCAACACCUGCAAGUGAGAUAGGCGGUGACGAAAUCAGAGCUGAUUUUGAAGCCUCUGAUGCCCCUGUUGUUGCAAGUUGCACCUGAGAACAAGUUUUUUUUUUCUUUGGGGUAAAAAACUGGCAACAUGUUCGGAGCUGACAAUUCAAUCCCUGAUGAACUAGAGAAGCAAAGCUCCGGUAAGGAAAUUGGUCAAGGUUGUGACAGGGAUGAUUGAUGGUGAAAUGGAUGCUAUUUCUUAUUGCAGCCUGUUCUCAAAGUUCUUGUUGG
rnacentral:lncRNA from 1 species